ACAACAUGCUCCUCCCAGGUUCCGGCAGUUCUCCUGCCUCAGGCUCCCCGGUAACUGGGAUUACAGGUGUGAGUCACCAUGCCUGGCUAAAUUUUUUUUGUAUUUCUAGUAGAGACAGCGUUUUGUUAUGUUGUCCAUGCUGGUCUGGAAGUCCUGGCCUCAAGUCAUCCACCUGCCUUGACCUCCCAAAGUGCUAGGAUUACAGGCAUGGGUAACCACGCCCAGCCUACUAUUGUUUCUUGACAAUCUUUCCUGAAGAAUUUAUCUUUUUGUGGCUGAAUAUGACUUAAUUUGUUUUCUAGAAAGAUGCAUUUAUACAUUUAUACAAAACAUAUUGGUUUUCCACUAGGCUUUUCUUUUUCUAAAGACCUUCAAAUCUUAAGAGAAAUAUGACAUUGAGUAUCAAAGGAAUAUAUUAGAGAAAAUAAAUUUUCCCUGCCUCCAGCCUUCCAUUUUACAUUUGGCUAAACUUUGGGAAUCAUCUUAGAAGAGUCGGGUGGUAUUUCGAGUGAGAUUCUCCCAGAUGCAGUUUAGUUGGGAAUGAGUCACAUGGGUGCUUUCUUAAUGCUAUGUGACGACACAUCAGCACAUGAAGAUGACUGAAUUUUCUGUUUCCUCUUUCUUUGCAUUAGCACAUUAUUUACUUUGUCUCUUUUUCAGUGAUGAGUAUCUAGCUUUGUCUUUUCACUUCCUUUCACAUUUCAAGGCUGUUUUCACAUUCAGAAUUGAUUAAAAAUGCACAUUUUUCUGAAAAAUGCUACUUUCACCAACACAUUCAAUGAUGCUGUUCAGAGUUCUGGGAUGGAGUUUAAGAGGAUAUAUUUUCAAUGUCUACCACCGUCACUCACUGUCUCUAGAGGAUGUAGGUACAGUUGGGCUGUGGAUUAUACUUUAAAAAAUUCUGGACUAAAGGAGCUGAUUGAAUGUUAUCUUUUAUUACAGUAUCUCUUCCCCAAUUGCCUUGGCUCAGUAUGUGCAACCACUAGAUUUAGAUUUGUAGGUUUCUUCCAACGCAUUUAUGUUCCCAUUCAUAGUUUACUAUGUAUCAAUGGAGAGGAUUCUCUGAAAUUAACCUCCUUUUAUCACUUCUAACCUCUUAUUCUUGGGUUUUGACCACUUUGCUUACUCAGGGAUUCCUCAAAUAGCAUUUUUAAAAAGUGCUCUAAAGAGUAAAUUAAAGAAACACUUUUAAUGAUAUUCAGUUAUCUGGUAAUGAUUUGGACUUAAUGAUCCUGAAAUUCUAUAACUCAAUAAAAUGCAUUUAUGAUGUUAUACGUCUAUAUUUAAAUUACCUAUGAAGAUUUAAAUCACAGCAAAACUUCUUUUUCUCAGAGAAUGCACAGUGGAUGUUGUGAAUUUACUUUUCGUUUCUUUCCAGCAUUUCUUUUCCCAUUUUGUUUGAGAUAAUUUGUUUUUAUAAUUUGACAUAUUAUUUUGGUGUUUGCUGCUUAGAUAUUGCAACUAUUAUGGGUAAGUGAGCUGGCUAUUGACAUGGUUUGCCACUUAUUAUAAAUAAGAAAAUCAAGACAAGUCAAAUUGUGAGAACCUGCUAAUGAUGAGAUUGCAGUUAUGGUUGGAUAUACAUCAAGGAUAGGGGUAGCUAGCUGCUAUUUAUUAUAACACUGUACCAAGUGUGUUACCUUUGGUAAUUUCAUUUUUUCUCAUUUUAUUCUUAUGUAAUCAUGUGAGUAUAAUCAUUCUAGUGUUACAGAGGAGAAAACAGAAUCUUGGAGAGUAACCUGCCUUAACCACACCAAUGUAAGUAAUAGAGGCAGAGCACGAAUCCUGGCUUGCUUGACUUCAGAGUCUCUGCUUUCUCCACUAUACUAUGCUGUUGUGAUUCUUAAUUCAUUUACUGUAUGCCAACUCAAUCAAAAUAGGUUUUGUCCAGUGGAAACUCUUUAUAUGAUACUAUAUUGGUGGAUGCAUGUCAUUAUACAUUUGUCCAAACCCGUAGACUAUAAAACACCCAGAAUGAACCCUAUUGCAAACUAUAGACCUCAAGUGAUAAUGAUGUGUCAGUGUAGGUUCAUCAAUUGUAAAAAAUAUUCUGCUCUGUCCAGGUGUGUGGAUAAUGGAGGAGGCUAUACAUGUGUGGGAGCAGGAGCUAUGUGGGACCUUUUUGUACCUUCCUCUUAAUUUUGGCAUAUAUGUAUUUCUUUUUCUUUUCUUUUUGAGACAGGGUCUCACUCUGUUGCCCAGGCUGGAGUGCAGUAGCACAAAAUGCAGCAGCAGGAUUCUCCCACCCUAGCCUCCUAAGUAGCUGAGACUACAGGUAUGCACCUCCAUGCCUGGCUAAUUUAAAUUUUUUUUUUUUUUUUGUAGGGACAAGGUCUUAGAAUGUUGCCCAGGCUGGCCUCGAACUCCUCAAUAAAGUGAUCCUCCCACCUCUGCCUUCCAAAGUGUUAGAAUUAUAGGCAUAAGCCACUGCCCCUGGCCUAAAUAUAUAUAAUUUUUUUUUUGAGACGGAGUCCUGCUGUGUCAUCCAGGUUGGAGUAUAGUAGCACCAUCUCGGCUCACUACACCCUCUGCCUCCUGGCUUGAAGUAAUUCUUGUGCCUCAGCCUCCCAAGUAGCUGGGAUUACAGGCAGGUACCACCAUGCCUGGCUGAUUUUUGUAUUUUUAGUAGAGACAGGGUUUCACCAUGUUGGUCAGGCUGGUCUUGAAUUCCUGACUUCAAGUGAUCUGCCUUCCUCUGCCCCCCAAAGUAUGGGGAUUAUAGGUGUAAGCAAUCACGCCUGGCCAAAAAUAUUUUUUUUUUUAAGAUUUUGUUCUGAUUCUGAUGGAGAAUGGACUCUUUUCUAAAGUUAACAGCAGUUACUUAACUGGUUAGUGCUAAGUUAGGCAUAGCUCAUAGUUUUUAAGGUGGCAUAUAUGUGAAAAAAGAGGGGAGGCGGACAAAAUCAAGACAGCAGAAGUAGCUGUUUGAGGGAUUUUGGAAUUCUUGACUGACACUCACUUCCUGGGACAGUCCUGAUUUUGCUGCUCUUUCCUCACCUCUUUCUUUUCAAGACUUACGCCCUGCACACUAACCCUAGCUCUAACCCUUCCUGCUGAUGGACACCCCAUUCACAGGGCGGCAGAGACUAGAUGUGAGGAAUAGAAAGAAAAGCAGUUGUUCCUUGAUUGUUCCUAUGAGUUAUACAUUCAGGCUCUUGGUUGGAGGGCUCCGAUGUGAAAGCCUGGCUUCAGAUCCACUGAGAAAGUAGCAUGACUGAAGUGGUGAACUGGAGAUGAAGUGGGGGUGGCCUACCAUGAGGACUAAUUUGUUCUUUAAGUUUAUCUAAUGGUUUGCAAGGGUGGAAAUAUCUCUGGGGAAAUGUGAUGGAUUCUCCUAGGAAACUCACUUCACCAAAUAAUUCUUUUGAAACUGUUUUCAGAAACGAGACAAGUGGCAUGAAUCUAUUUACAAAGAGAAUCACCUCUGUGUCUGUGACCCGAGAGGCAUUCCCGUGGUGAUACAACUUGGACAUUUGUUCAGGGGGCCAGUGCUCAUGCUGAGUGAUUUUCAAAGCUGUAUGAGGGCAUUUAUCAGGACUUUAACUCUAGGUACUCUUUCCCACGGUGUGAAGACCAAGAGAAGGGAUCCUGGGAUCUCUUCCCUGGCCCCAGAAUGGGAAUUCAAGGGGAAAAGGUCACCUAUUCUUAUCCCACAAAAGAAAACUUAUUCAUCAGUUGUCAAGCAAAGGAGCUUCAGAGUCCACAUGUAGGGAAAUUGCUAAGAGCUUAUCGGUAGUAUCCACCUCCCACCCCAACCUGUGGCCACAUGGAGAAUGAUGGUGGGGGCCCCGGAUCUUGUCCUACCGCAGGUGAAAAGCGGGGGUGGGGUGCUUCAUUCUGAAGGGCUCCUUUGUUAAAAUUCCUUCCAAUUCCAGGAAAAACAUGCACUCCAAAGCCAUUGUCUUUUUUGCUUCUUACUAGGGGACUUCCAGGAGAGAGAGAGAGUGAGAGCGAGAGCGAGAGCGAGAGCGAGAGCGAGAGCGAGAGCGAGAGAGAGAGAGAGAGAGAGAGAGAGAGAGAGAGAGAAUGAGAGGAAGAGAGAGGAGAAAAGAUGGCAAAACAGCUGCAGUGAAUUUAGUCACCUCUCCAAUUACUUUUCUUGUUGCAGAAGAUUUCACAUCUCAGGAUUUUCUUUCUUGUCCUCUGGACUGUUGAUACACUCAAGAUCAUAAUAACCCUUCCAUCACAGGUUAAAGACAUGGCGGGGGCCUGGGUUUGGCGGGAAGGGUAGAAAAUUCUAUUUUAAAGUCCUGUUCCAUUGUUUUACCCGCAAUUAAAACUUUUUGUGGUCCCCACCCUGUUUAUGACAGCAGGGACUGUGAGGCCACCCUGCUGUGAAUUCAAUCCAGCCUGACCAGCUAGGACAAUGAUCAUAUGAAUUAAUGGGUCUUGAUAGACCUCAGUUACCCUCUUCUCCCCUCACUGAGCGCAGCCCAGGCUUCAGUGGCUGCACGUGUGAGCAUUUACUCCCACACUCUACUCAAAGCACGUGUUGAAUUCAUUGCAUGUGUGAGCCACACUGCUGCACCUGUGUUCUGGAGCUAGCACAGUAAAUGUAGCCAUGCACCUUUUUUGGGUGUCAGAGGACCUGAGGCUGCUCCUCUGCCCCAAUGAGGGGCUCUUUUUUCUUUCCUCACAUCUCUCCUUCUCUGUGAAGUUGGAAGCACGACUUGAACCCAGCCUCUUGGGAGAGGUGAAAUGUUUUGCUUUGGAACAGCCGAGGUUUGCUCAUGGAAGCGGUGGAGGUGCUGAAGUCACAACCUCAUGGUGUGUAUGAUGCUGGCGUUUCUUAGUAAUAAGCCUUGCUGACACAUCCCAGGAGAGGAAGUUAGGUUAGGGUAAGGCAAGUGAAUGAAAUUGUUUAAAGGCUGCCACAGAUGAAAAAAUUAAUUGCACUUUAUUUAGGGUUAUGAUGUCCUCUUUCCUGGGUUAAUCCAGAGGCAGUGUGGGAUUAGGGCUCCUUAACGUAUACCUGGAAGAUUUCGUGUCAGAGGAAGGUAGGAUGGGGGAAUCUGUAGGGUCUGGGCUGUGAGCAAGCAUUGAGAGUUGAAAUUGAGCCUCACAGGGAAAGCCUUCCUUAUCUCCCAUAACUGGGAAUUAUGCUCGUGUCUGAGAAGGAGAGGCCUCCUAGAUGCAGGGUUUACUGUACAACUGAAGGACAGCAAGGCUGAUGGUCACAGGGAUGUAAAAGUGCUUUGCAUUCAGCAGUCACUUAAUUAGCUAUUCAAUGACUCAGUUAAACUAUUUUGUGAUAAACUUUGUUUGAUAGGCUGUUGCCCUGCAGUGGUUGGCAAAUAUGCUCAUUUUUGAGGUUCACAGCUGUCUCUCCUUCCUAAGUUUCUACUCAGGCAUCACUCAGCUCCUGGUAGGUGUGAGAUGUGAUGAUCACUAUAGGGUAGGCAGCUUGGAAGGAAGGAUUGGUGAGCAGUCUUUUGCUUUGAGUUACUACUGCAUUGUAGGCCAAAUUCCUCUAAUUUUUUUUUUAAUGACAGAAUGUAGAUAGUGAUAUUGUUAUUUCCUGUGAAGCUAGAAUAACCCAGAAUACUAAAACCCCUUGGGCAAGGAAAGCAAACACAACUCAAGACAAACCACUUGCACGACAGCCUUCAAACGGUGAUUUAGAUUUAAAAAGUUAAGGGAUCUUGAAGACCACAUAUUCCUUGGGAAAAGCACAUGAUCUGGACAGUCCGAAAUGCAUCAUCAGCCCCUUGGAGGAGGUCAGUGACCCAUGUUAUGUUAGGUAUAAAAUUCCAGGUUGGUGGUAUUUCGUGGUGCAACUCCUGAGGGCUCCUGCAUUAUAACAAUCUUCAAAUGGUUUGAUCAAGUUGAGAGUGAGAAUUAGAGAAACAAAACUGAAGAUUGUUUUUUCUCUCUGAGUAAUGAGGCUCUUGGAGGAAAAGCUUAUUCUAUAUAUGGUUUUUAUCUUCAUUUCCACUUCCUGAUACCCAGAUCUGCACAGGGAGAUCUUUAACCUGGAUAGCAGUGUGCAUUUCUAAUUCAGCCUCAGGGUAGUCUCCUACUGUGUAUAUGAGAUGUUGAACACAAAAAGAAAUCACCUGAGAGUGGAAAUUGUGGAGGAGGCUGGGCCAGAUGCUUGCCUGAGUGAUGAGCUGCAGAUACCAGCUCAAGUGGAAUACAGUCAAGGGCUGGUACAUGACUCCAACAUCAUUGAAUUUCCUUUUUGUCCUGCCAGUGGACAUGACAGCUGAGGAUAAGGUGGCUGGGAGACCAUGAGGGACCAAAUGUGACACAAGGCAGGAGUCUUUCGUGGGCUUGCCAGCUGGUUCGUGUUUCCUUAUGUGGCAGGAGCUUUCUCUGGUAGGGCAGAAAGACAAUGAGAUCUCUACACGAUUUUAUGGAUCAGUUUUCACUUUCCCAGAUGCAAAGAGAGGAGCCAUAAUUACCUUGCAUAUGUUCUGAUAGUAUCCCUUGGGCAAGUGGAAGGGGUAACUCACAAUAGAUAAACUCGGCUUUUGCUCCAGAAAUGUCUUCUGCAUCUGCAACAAGGGGGUGUUGAGUGAUGCUACAGGCAGCUGGAAGGGCUCAUUUAUUUGACCUAAUUAUUCCCAGUGUAGACCUGACUCAUCAUAACGGGCUCUUCUUCAAAGGAAAUGAGAGCCAGAUUGUCUCCUUGGCAGCAAUGGAAAACAAAUGCUAUCCACAGAAUGGCUGUUAGAUUAAAAAAAGGUGCAACUUGCCUUUGGGGCCAGCUGGUGUUUAAUGAUGUUACCAAGAAUAGAGGACUGGAAAGAGAGUAGUGUCAAAUCCUGACAUUCUAGCUUUCUAAAAAUGUUCUUCAUAAAAUUAACUUACAUUGGAUGCCAUGAACAAAAGUAACCACAUACUCAGAAUCCAAGGAAAAAUGGAAGCCUUGGGAUGUUUUUAUUAAUAAUUGACAAACUCUCUAUGGGUACAAUGGAGGACUUUUCACACAGAGACCUUAUUAUUUCUUAAUCCCUUUGGAUUCUCUAUUGAAGGAUUAAAAUGGUCUUUUUUUCCUAAGGGAUGGAGAAAUGGAGAAAGAGAGUUGAAAUAACUCUCCUAUUGCUGUCAAGCAAAUCAAACACAGAAUGGGGCCAGCAUGCCACAUUCCCUCUGCAAAGCCUUGGAGUGAAACUGCAUUGGCUCAGUGGUGCAUUUCCCAACAUCGCAACUUCAUCUCGGAUCAUUGCAAAUUGUCUAUAUGGAAACCUGGGUCCAAUGAGAAUCAUCAUUUAAAUUUUCCCUGCUCCCACUUUUCUGCUUUACAGUGGUAGCUGAGUAUGUCCUACCCCUAAGGAUAUGGGAAAGAUGUGUACUUGACUGAUUGAUCCCUGUGACAUAGUCUGACACUUUGCUUUUGUUCAAGAAUUCUUGAAGCACUGGGCUGCAAUGAUGCCCCCUUGAUAGCACUGUUCAAAAGUUGACCUGUGUUUGCUGGAACCUCCAAGAACACUGUGUUUGAUUUGAGCCGGGAUCCUGUCUUGGAGGAGGAGAGGGAAUCCCACAAACUACUUGUAAAGAAGAUCCCAUUGUUCAGUCAAAUCCUCUGACACUGUAGCAAUCCAUGCAUGCAGUUGCCGUUGGCAUUCUGACACGUGUACAUAGUGUUUUCAUCUCCUCCCUGGAGUUGGGGCCAAAGCCUGAGGUUCCUUUCGACACCACCCUGAAAAAACUCUGGAUUUGUGCUCCCCUCUGCUCUGCAAUAACAUAACAGCUCUGUGGUGUGGCCAAUGUUUACCUAGUUGGUGGGAGGACUUUAAUAUCAAAAGGAAAACAUUUUUUCCGCAUUCCACAUAGGUAAGAUGUGGUUUGCUGUUCUUCAGGGCAGAAGAUGUGGGGUGGGGAAGGGAUGAAGAAAAGAAAAACAUUCCCCCCCAUUUUUUUUUUCUGAAAUUUUCAGGGCUAAAGUGAUGGGUCAGGGUAGGUGAGCAAAGAAACGAAUCAAGCAAUGGGGGAAGAUAAAAGAUAAACAGACUUUGUUUUAAAGAGUCACAGCCAUGACUGAGCAUAUGUUUCCUUUGCAUUCAGUUCCAAAAAUAGAUUAUUAGUAGUGAGAAGCAACUGGUUUCUGAUGCUUAUCAGAGAUCAGCUAAUAUCAUUUCCAACUGUUGGGGUUAGAUAUAGGGUAGGCUGUAUAUCUAACAGAAAGAGAUUACUAAGCUUCGUGAUACCUUGGAUUAUAUUUCACAAAGCUGUUUUCUGGCCAGAUAAAGCAGUUAGCUAAGUAAGAGGAAUUUGCCCACGGAUAAAAGGGGCUGGUAACUUGUAGUGAUCAUUGUAGAUACUCUCUGUUUUAAACAGUGUGAAUCUACUGGCAGUUUAUCAGUCAUUGUGGAACAGGGUUAUGAGUGAGUGAGGGAUGAGUGGGAGGGGACACACUGCAGACCAAUUGGGUGAAGAAGCGGGUGCAGUUGGGAAUGAAAAUCAGUGCUCUGCUUUUUCCAUAGACCCUACAGAUGGCAGCUUGUGGGCUAGAGAUUCCCUGAACCUCUAAUGCUACCUAGAAACCUGAAGAGGCUGAGGGUGCCCUGUUCUUAGGGAAAGAACAACCUUGCUCUAAGUUGUGUUGUUACAUGAUGUGUCGGUUUGCUUUAGUUUGUUAGUUUCUCAAGAGUAGAAUCUGCCAAGGAUAUUCCCCAGAAUCUGCUCACUUACUAGAGAAACCAAGAGAGUCCUAGCAGCACAGCGGGAUCAAGAAGGUUGAGAACAGAACUGGAGGUGAGAAUAUGGCCACAGGAGGCUCCAGGACUAAAGAAGUGCACUGAUUUGACUUAUUUUCUGGAUGUAUGGAGUGCCUUUACUUCUCUUUAAAAAAGGGGCAGUGCUAGUGGUAUUGACAUUUCUCGAAAUGUUCACAAGUCCUUACUAUAGACCUCAGGGACUUGCAGUGAUCUAUGAAGACUGGAUAUGCUUCAAGUGGAAGGUUGCUAACUUUAUUUUGGUUCCUAGGGCUAACAUCCCACUUUAUGGAUUGUCCAAGUUAAACUCUAAACAGCUGUUAGUCCUUUGUACCUCCCCAGAGCUCAGUCUUUCAGUUGACUGCUCAUUGCUGAGCCCUGUGCCGUGCACUCUGGGAGUGAUACAGGAAUUCUCCUCCUUAGGCAGUGAUUUGCAGAGGCUGAGUAGGUGAGGGUGUGAAGGUGUGUAAGGGUAUGGGCUGAUUUUUUUUGUUUUGACCAGGAUCUCACUCUGUUCCCCAGGCUGGGGUGCAGUGGCAUGAUCAUGGCUCAUGGUGACCUCAAACUCUUGGGCUCAAGUGAUCCUCCAACGUCAGCCUCCCAGUAACUAGGACCACAGGUGCAUGCCACCACACCAGGAUGAUUUUUUAAUUUUUGUAGAAUCAGGGCCUCACUAUGUUAUCCAGACUGGUCUUAAACUCCUGGCCUCAAGCAGUUCUCCUGCCUUGGCCUCCCAAAGUGCUGGGAUUACAGAAGUGAGCCACCAUGUCCAGUCUGAUUUGUUCCUUUCUAAUGUAGCUUUUAUUCUGAGGUUGAGGGAAACAAUAUUGUGCAGUUAUUAGUACAUUCUAUAAAUACUUAUUUGGCAUCUAUCCUGUGUCAGUCUGAGAUUCAAAGUUUAAUAAAAGACAGAGAAGCCAUCAAAGAGUUUAUCCUUGGUUCACAUUUCUGUCCUCUAAUGGACUCAGCUUGUCAAGCAUAGCAUUAUUCCUAUUUACUUCCCAAUCUCUGGCAUCUAGCAUAUACCCUGGCUUAUGAUUGGUACUCAGCAAGUAUGGAAAUGCUGUACAACAAGAAGUUUGCAUUGAUAUUUUUCUUUUCUUUUCUCUAACAACUUUGCCUCACACCUAACAACUGGCUGUUUUUUUUUUUCUAUCAAAAUAGAACAUUUCCCCUCUGAGUGGCUUAUUUAUCACUGUGCCUCUUACAGUUACUGUGAGGAGAAAUAACCCUUUCCCUUUUCGGCAUGACUGCCUUCCUGUUAGUACAGAUUAUAUCCCAUAGAAGCAGAAACUUUUUGUUCUUUUGUUCACUGCUAUAUCCUCAGCAUCAAGAAUAUACAGGAAUUUUAAUGAUUAUUUGUUGAAUGAAUAUAUAAAAUUGAAAUCAGGAAAAAGGUCCUAACUAUAUGAGUCAGGUUAGGUUAAGCUUCGCUGCGAUAACAAACAAACCUGAAAAUCUCAGCACCUGAGCAUAUUAGGUUUAGUUCUCUUUUGCACAAAGUUGACUGUGAGUCCUGUAGCCUUCCAGGUCAGCUCCUCACCCAGUGGCAACUUAAGGAUCUUGCCUGAUUACAUCCUGUAACUACCUAAUCCGGAACAUGCAGCUUUUGAGUUGCUGUAUUAUGGGAAGAUAGGUACAAAGGUUGCAUACUGAUUCAAGUGCUUUGAUUUGGCAAUGAUUCAUGUUUUUUUCUGUUCAGUCUUUUGCUCAUCAAAUAUGGGUAAGCCUAUGAGUAUUUGGUGAGCAUGCCACACUAAGUAUGUUAUUCAGUGUUUCCUAAAUGGUGCUGUAAUUACAUGGAAAAGUAACUUGGUGUCCCCUACUCACCGUUGCUACUUCAUUGCAGACCAGUCAAUUUCCAAAUGUCAUUUGCCUGAAGUCCAUCUUGAGAAGCCAGACACUGCUUAGGCUCUAGCAUAAGAGGCUCUCAGUGGCAAGUAACUAUGUUAUGUCAGGCCGGGAUUCAAAUUUUAAUAAGACAUAUAGCAGUCAUGGAAGAGUUUAAACUAUUUAAAUUUCUGGCUCCCAACUGAAUUAAGCUUGUCAAAGGCAGCAUUGACUCAACCAGUGACUCAGAGAGUUGAUAUGUAAUAUAAAUACCUCAGAUUCCUCACUACUCUGGUGAGAUAGCCCUGAGGUGCAUUUUCUAUACUACUUCCCAGAGAUGCCAUUUGGAUUAAACUCCAAUUAUCCACAGUGGUAACUUCCUUUAUUGCCAUCUCCCCUUCCCUGUCUCAUUUCCCUAUUUCCCAACUCUCCUGACCUUGUUUCUUGGAAUUCUGUCUAAAAUUAACUAUUUGCACUUGAGUCCAUGUCUUUGGGUCUGUGUAUGGGGGAAACCCCAAACUGAAAGAGAAGGUUAGAAGGUUACCUAAAUAGUUCUUGGUGUGUGUGUGAGUGUGUGUGUGUGUGUGUGUGUGUGUGAGAGAGAGAGAGAGAGAGAGAGAGAGAGAGAGAGAGCGACAGAGAGAAAGAAAGAGAGAAAUUCAUACAGAUUUGGGAGGGGGCCUUAGGGAGGUCUCUUCCUCCACCAUCUGCACUUGUAGAACCACUUAGGUAGCUAGAAUGAAAAAAGUGAAGGAAUACAAGUGAGGGGAAAGUAGAAUCCCUGAGAUACCAGAAACAUUUUCUAUUCUGUGUACUUAAGCACAUAAAGUCUGGAUCCUACUGUGAAAUUAUUGGCUACCUGAAGUCUCGGGGAGAGGAAUUCCCAAAGGCAUUCUAAAGCAAGCACUUCCUGGGCAGCCAACACGAGACCUGUGGUAAUUGGAGCCUUGUAUUUCUAAGCACUUCUCAGUGGGAUUCCAGAAGGGGUGUAAUUGGACAGGUUGACAAGAUGCUAUGGCUCCUCAUAAUUGCAACACAAGGUCCAGAGUCCAGGCUGGGCAUGGUACUGACGGAGUAAAGCCUGUGGUUAAUGGUCUUCCACCUCUCCUUUUAGUGACCUCUACUUUUUUUUUGGUGAUCUCCUAUUCACCAAGGGUCAUGUAAUGGUAAAGUGUCCUUAUAAUUUAUCAUCUAAACCAGGGCACUUAAAAAAAUUACCUUCCCAGUAUUCCAAUGAGAAAAACCAAGAAGUCAUACAGGGGCUCCAGAGGCCAGUAAGUGGCGGUGCCAGUAUUUAAAGUAAGAUUUGGGUGCUUUCUUACUGCACCACCCAUGUUCAGUGUUGACACUGACCAGGCGCUUCCUGGCAGGAGAAUGGGACUGGGGUACAGGUGAAGAACAUGCAAGAUUGUUGCAUAGGUAUAUACAUGGCAAUGUGGUUUGCUGCCUUCCUCCCCAUCACCUAUAUCUGGCAUUUCUCCCCAUGCUAUCCUUCCCCAGUUCCCCACCGCACUCUGUCCCUCCCCCAGUUCCCCCCUACAGGCCCCCAAUGUGUGAUGCUCCCCUCCCUGUGUCUAUAUGUUCUCAUUGUUCAAAACCCGCCUAUGAAUGAGAACAUGCGGUGUUUGAUUUUCUGUUGUUGUGUCAGUUUCCUGAGAGUGAUGGUUUCCAGGUUCAUCGAUGUCCCUACAAAGGACGUGAACUCAUCAUUUUUUAUGGCUGCAUAGUAUUCCAUUGUGUAUAUGUGCCACAUUUUCCCUGUCCAGUCUAGCAUCGAUGGGCAUUUGGGUUGGUUCUAAGUCUUUUUUAUUGUAAACAGUGCUGCAAUAAACAUAUGUGUACAUGUGUCUUUAUAAUAGAACGAUUUAGAAUCCUUUGGAUAUAUACCCAGUAAUGGGAUUGCUGGGUCAAAUGGAAUUUCUGUUUCUAGGUCCUUGAGGAAUCGCCACACUGUCUUCCACGAUGGUUGAACUAAUUUACACUUCCACCAGCAGUGUAAAAGUGUUCCUGUUUCUCCACAUCCUCUCCUGCAUCUGUUGUCUCCAGAGUUUUUGAUGAUCACCAUUCUAACUGGCGUGAGAUGGUAUCUCUAUGUAGUUUUGAAUUGCAUUUCUCUAAUGACCAGUGAUGAUGAGCAUUUUUUCAUAUGUUUGUUGGCCUCAUAUAUGUCUUCCUUUGUAAAGUGUCUGUUCAUAUCCUUUGCCCACUUUUUUUUUUUUUCUUGUAAAUCUGUUUUAGUUCUUUGUAUGUUCUGGAUAUUAGCCCUUUGUCAGAUGGGUAAACUGCAAAAAUUUUUCCCAUUCCGUUUGUUGCCGAUUCACUCUAAUGACUGUUUCUUUUGCUGUGCAGAAGCUGUGGAGAUUAAUUAGGUCCUAUUUGUCUAUUUUGGCUUUUGUUGCCAAUGCUUUUGGUGUUUUAGUCAUGAAGUCCUUGCCUAUGCCUAUGUCUUGAAUGGUUUUGCCAAGGUUUUCUUCUGGGGUUUUUAUGGUGUUAGGUCUUAUGUUUAAGUGUUUAAUCCAUCUGGAGUUAAUUUUAGUGUAAGGUGUCAGGAAGGGGUCCAGUUUCUGCUUUCUGCACAUAGCCAGUUUUCCCAACAUCAUUUAUUGAACGGGGAACCCUUUCCCCAUUGCUUGUUUUUGUCAGGUUUGUCAAAGAUCAGAUGGUUGUACAUGUGUGGCAUUGCCUCCUAGGCCUCUGUUCUGUUCGAUUGGUCUAUAUCUCUGUUUUGGUACCAGUACAAUGCUUUUUUGAUUACUGUAGCCUUGUAGUAUUGUUUGAAGUCUGGUAGUGUGAUGCCUCCAGCUUUGUUCUUUUUGCUUAGAAUUGACUUGGCUAUGUGGACUCUCUUUUGAUUCCAUAUGAAGUUUAAGGUGGGUCUUGCUCUGUAACCCAGACUGGAGUGCAGUGGUAUGUGGGCAUGAGCAUAGUUCACUGCAACCUAGAAAUCCCAGAUUCAAGCAAUCCUUCUGCCUGAGCCUCCCAAAUACCUAGGACUAUAUGUGAGUGCCACUAUUUACAGCUAAUUAAAAAACUUUUUUUUUAGAGAUGAGGUCUUGCUAUGUUGCCCAGGCUGGUUUUGAACUCCUGGCAUCAAGUGAUCCUCCCACCUUGGCCUCCCAAAGCCCUGGGAUUACAGGUAUGAGGCAUAGCACCUAGUCCCAGCACCUUUUGUUGAAAGGAUUAUUCUUUCUCUGCUCGAUAGCUUUUACAAUUUUGUCAAAAGUCAGUUGUCCACAUGUGCUUGGGUCUACUUCUGCACUUGCCAUUCUGUUCCAUUGAUUAUUUUGGUUUGUUUCCAUCAAUAGGACACUGUGCUGAUUGCUAUAGGUUUAUAAUAAAUCUGAACCAAGAUAGUUUCAGUCUUCCAAUUUUGUUUCAUUUCAAAGUUGCUUCAGGUCUUGAUUCUUUACAUAGUCAUAUGAAUUUUAGAGUCAGUUUAAUAGUUUCUACAGAAGAACCUAUUGGGAUUUUGAUAGGCAUUUUGUUGAUUCUGUAGAUGAAUUUGGAGAGAGUUGCCAUCUUGAACCUGUGAACAUGCAACUGGAGCACCUUUGAGAAUGAAGGAGGACAGUAUGAGUACACCAGGGCGGUUCUGGGUGGAUUGGGAAUUACGUUCAUCCUACCUGGUGCCCUCUUGUCACUGCCUGUGAUGACAUCUCACUGGUGGCAUGGUUCCCAGAACUCUCAUUUACUCCUGUUGACCUCAAAAUUUAUUAUGUUUCCAGUGAUUUUAAGUAUAUUCCUGGCACAAAUAUAUCAAUAAAUAAAACCUUAAAAUCACAGUAUCCCAAGGGACAUUUUCCUUGCAUGACAAAAGUGACAGUGGAUUAGCCUGAUAAGUCAAUCCCUAGUAAGAAUUAUGUAGCCUAUGUAUUAUUCUCUUACUCCUUCUUUCCACUCUCCAGUGCAUCCAACACAUAUUCGUAGAGCACGUGUGUACUGGAUAUGAUGCUUGGUAAUAUUCUUUAACUUUUAAAAAUGAACUUUGAAGGCAGGUUAGUGGGAAGGGCUUUAGAUUAUCUUUAAACAUUAAUCUUUCCAAAUUAAAUAACAGAUGUGAAAUGCCCAGUACUGUUUCUGAUUCAUACAAACCCCCCUACAAAUUCCCCUCCCUAGGAGCAAGCACAUCAGACUCCUGGACAGUCUCUGCAGCCAGCCAGGAAGGUCUUUCCUGGGGAGGGAGAGAAGGAUGUAAACCCUGAUCUUCCUAUAUUUGGGGUCGAUCAAAACCAAAACUCAUAUAAAGUUGGCAAAAGAAAACUCAAAAUAUAUUGUGGCAAAAAAUCUGGAUGAGUUCUUCUUGGUGUCACUGCCAGCAAUCUUGCAAGAUACUUUGGGACAUGACCUUCAUCAUUCUUUGCUGUCAUACAAUCAAGGGUCAGGGCUUGGGUGGAACAAGGAAGAAGGUGGUAACUUUGAAGCCCUUGCCAUUCUUGUGGGCAGGAAGUAUCAAGAAUGUUAUCCAAAAAUUCUCUCUGCUGAAUUUUGAAUUACCGUGACUUCAUGUGUGUGUCGUCUAUACUAUGCUCCUUGGGAUGCUCUGAAUCCAUUCAGGUGGUCAAGAUGAUAAGCUCAGCUGGUUAGGCUAUGGGGCUAAGGAAAUCAAGCUCACAGCUGCAGUCUCUAUAUGAGCACAGUUAACUCGGCACACAAAGUAAUCUGUCCAAGUCCUCAGAUUGCCUCACUAACCCCCACCAGCUGGCUUGAAAGUACGUGCCAUGCAGGGCCUGGAAUAUGGAUGGCUAAAUCACAGGCUCAUCCCCAGUCCUGGCGAAAUCCCCAUGGAGGAGGCCCUCCAGACGUUAGAAACUGCUUGUUAGAUUCUGGAACUGUUCAUUAAUCUGGCAGCACUUCACUUCAAGGCCUGGUGUUUAUCUUGAAGUAAUUUAUGAGCGACAGAGGAUUUUGCAUUGUUUUAAAAAUUGGAUGUUGAUAGUGUACCAGCCUACUUGAUAAAUGUCUGCUGGAAUGUAGAGUCCACUCAAUGGGACUUGAGGGAGGAGACCAUGGGCCAGCCAGUGGGGGCUUCAGAGGUUUAGUUAUUCAUUUAGAAACUUCUGCUGAGUGCUUUCCAUGAGCCAGGCACAGUUUACAUGCUGGGAAUUUAAGUUUUCGUUAUUUCCACCAAUGUUUUGUUGCCUGUUCCAUGCUAGGCAUUGUGCUGGACCCUAAAGCCUCAGCGGAGAAUGAGGCACGCUCAUGUCUUCAAGGAGACCUGAGCAUGGGGCAGGUCAUAUUUAUUUUGUGCGAUGGACUUUUUUGGCAGCCUGUUGAAACCUGUGGAAGCCUUCUCAGAACAAUUUCAGAGGCAUACAGUAAAGCACAUGAGAUUAUAAAGGAAGCCAGUGGUAAUACAGUACAGUUGUCAAAACAUUAAACAAAUACAUCAGUGCUAAGUGCUAACUAUUGAACAUGUAAACCAUGGUUCAUGGCUGUUCAUUGCCUCCUUCUGAAGGAUACUGCCACAAUCUCAGCUCCUGCUGCUGGGGUGGUCCUCGCCUCGUGUCUCUAUACACCCAGACACAGCUGAGUAAAGACAGGGAAGCACUAACCUGAUGCUACUGUUCCUAAGCAACGGAGAUGCUAUCACCAGUCAGAAAGAGCUGCCUCAUCAGAGCAUCACUCUGAGGCAGUGUAGUUGGAAAGCAGAAAAAAUUUUGGCACUGGAAGGGAACUGAAGAUGAAGAAAUACGGAAAGUGGACCCACGUAGAGCUGCAAGUCAUGAUGUGUCUGAGCAAAGUAAGGCUACAAGGAAGCUAAACCAGUGAACAGGCAGAAGCUACUGAAACAGGCAGAAGCAAGUGAUUCAGUGACUUGUAGUGGGAGAGAGGUAGACUAACAUGAAGAGAAGCAGAAAAACAGAAUAGCAAGGUGGCAGAGUGGUGAAGGGCAGAGCCUUAGAGAAUUCAGAAAUCUUUCUUCUGAAAUCCCUUGAAUUGCUUUGGAUUCAGAAGAAUCAUUUAUUUAUUUAUUUUAUUUUUGAGAUGGGGUCUUGCUCUGUUGCCCAAGCUGGAGUGCACUGGUGCUAUCAUGGCUAUGCAGCCUCCACUUUUUAGGCUCAAGAGAUCCUCCCACCUCUGCCUCCUGAGUAGCUGGAACACAGUUGUACACCACCACACCUGGCUAAUUUAAUUGUUUUUUUAUAGAGAUAAGAGUCUCCCUAUGUUGCUCAGGCUAGUCUCAAACUCCUGGGCUCAAGGGGUCCUCCUGCCUCAGCCUCCGAAAGUGUUGGGAUUACAGGCAUGAGCCACCAAGAACAACCAAUUCAGUUUUUCCUAGGGAGCCUGGUCGUUUGUGUGUGUGUGUGUGUUUUUUUUUUUGAAUUGCACUGAAGACUAGUUUCCUGGCUGACAUUCCCAUUUCCUUUAUUACCAUGCAGAUUCUUAUAAUAAUCUUUCAUUUCCUGAGGCAACUAGAGUGGAUCUCUGUUUCUUGUGAUCAAAAGAGUCAAAUCCAAACAUGGCAGGGUAGGGGUGAGGACAGUGAGGCCAUCCUACUCCACCUCCAGCAGCGGGUGUGGACAGGGACUGCUUCCCAGCUCCCUUCUAAAUUGAUUUUGGAUUUGUUAGAAGUUACCCAGUUAGUUCAAAAUUUUGGCAAAAUAUGUCAUGGUUUAUUAAAAUACUGCUUCUUUUUCAUGUUGUUGACAUUUUAAUUUCAUUACACUGUGGUAUUUAGGGUAAAAGCUUUAUUUGGUAUUUUAGGAGAAGGGUAUGGUGAAAGAGAAAAGUCGUAUCUUUAAAAAAUUCAGGGUAAUUAAAAGUGAUAUUGAAGUGGCCCUGCUGUCUGGGGUAAAUUUGCAAGGUUCAUUGCCUCAUGCCAAGGAAUUCAAGGACACCGACACGUGGAGUGAGGUUAAGAGCGGAGGUUUAAUAGACAAAAGAAAGAGAAAGGAGAACAGCUUUUUCUCCUGGGAAAGAAAGAGGCACCCCAGUGGGACUUCCAGCCCAUGGCAGAUUACACAGGGUUUUAUAGACAGGCUUGAGGAGGUAGUGUCUGACUUACAUAGGGCCCAAAGAUUGGCUGGACUAGACGUGACGUUUAUGUAGCCCAGGGUCAGGGUAGGAGGGUUGGGGGAAGUGUUGAAGCUAGCCACCCCGCCAAAAUCUGAUUAUGCUAAUGGAGUCUUUGCCUGGCCUGGGCCAUGCUGUCUACUCCUGACUGUACAUGUAGUUGGCAAAGAGAAGGGAAGAUGGAGCCACCAUGUUGGACAUGUCUGUCUCCAUGUAGCUCCUUUCCUGUUGGCACAACUGCCAGAAUUCACUGGUACGAGCUUCUAGCCUGCCUUUCUAUGUCUGCAGCUCGAUUUUAGAGGCUGCUGUUUCUUAGAAAAGAAAAUGAUUUGGGGGCUGCCUUUCAUUAAAAGGAAAACCUUACCAAGGACUCUUGUAUCCUCACUAUCUGCCUAAAUAAUUUCUUUUUAACUCCUAUAUAAACAUUUAAUAAUGAAAUCUUAUUCACGCCUUGUUCAUCUGGUAAUGGAUAAUAAGAUAAGAAGAGCCGAUAAUGACAUCUAAAAUGUUGCAUAUGGAUCACUUAGACUAGAAAGUAUUGCCCAUCCUAUGUAUGAAGGAAGAGGGUAUUAGAAGCAGCAGGGACUCAUUUAUUUAUCUAUUGAGUAGCUACUAUGUUUUCAGGCAAAAGCCAGACAGAUAUUCCCCCAAGGAGCUUACAUUAAUAAACAGGCAGUACAUUUUUUAAAAAGCUAAUAGAUGAGAUGUGCUAAGAAAGCUAUAAAGAGGGAUAUAGGAGAAGAGCAUAGGAGGAAGAGGAAGAGCCAUAUGAGUGAGCCAGGUGGUGAGUACCAUUGGCUUAAUAGCAAUUUAUGGAAUGCUCGCAAUGGACCAGGCUCUGUGCCAGUGCCAGCAAUACAGCAGCGGACAAAAUAGGCAAAAAUCUUUGUCUUCAUGGUGGUUAUCCUCUAGAGUGAACCAGGUCCUAUUGUGCCUGUAAAUCAUAACGAAGGGUUGGGACUUUUGUCUGAAGGUGAUAGGGUGCCUUUGAAGUGCUCAAAGCUGGGAAGUGACACAAUCAGAUUUGCAUUUUAGAAAUACCAGCUUUGAGGUCAGUGCGGAGAUGGCUGGGACAGGGUGGUCUAGAAGCAAGGAGACUGCUCAGAAGCAGGUGAAAGAAAGAAGAUGCUGUUCAUUAUGUAGACAGUAAAUUAGGCUGGAAGUGAAAACAGUCAUUCUGGAGAUACUAAGAAAGUACAGUGGACAAGGUCAGAUCAUGGACAGGCAAAAUAUCUAGACGGAUACAGAAGUAUACUGUCAGGUGUCUGACUUCAAAUACUGGGUGGAUAUUGUUGCCAUAUGUUUUGUUGGCAUUGCAGGCGGAAGAACAAAUUUUUGGAGAAAAAUUAAAUUGUAUCAUUCUUUUCCUUGAUGCAGUUUAUUCUUUAUUGAGGAGACAAAUGAGCAAAUAAAACCAUUUCGUCAGCCAAUGUACUAGUCAGGGUAAGUUAAAUUUUGCUGUGCAAAUAACCAACCAUCAGAAUAGCAGCUUAACACAACAAAGAUUUAUUUUUCUCUUAUGCUACAUAUCUAAAGCAGACAGGGUUGAGUGGGGGUCUCUUUCACCUUGUAGUCACUGGACCAAAGCCUAUUAAUAUAUGUUCCAUCUUGACACACACAUCCACUGAGACAUAGUUAAAAAAAGAAAGAGAAGUAGCGAAUUGCACACUAGCUCUGAAAUCUUCUGUCUGGAAAUGGUUUGAAUCACUUCUGCUCACAUUUCAUUGGCCAAAGCAAGUCAUAAGGUUAUACCUAAUUUCUAAAGAGUGAGGAAGUGCUGUCAUUCUGUGUACUGAAAGGAGGAAGACUGUUUGUUCUUGUUAUUGCAGUCUAUUACUGGUGCACAAUUUCAGUUUGUCCUUCAUUUACAAUAGUCAUUUUGAUAGCUUGGUUAAAGUGGUAUCUGCUAGACUUCCUCACUGUAAGGUUAUGUUCCCCUUUGUAAUAAUAAAUACAUUGUAUAGAGUUACUUUGAAACCAUGUAAACUUACCAUUUCUUAUCAAACUUUUAAUUAAUAUGUGAAGAGACUCAUGAUUUCUGUUUAAUUAAUACCCAAACAGACUCAUGGCUAUAAUUUCUAGUCUACUAAGUGAUCCAUACGCAACCUCAGAUUUUAAAGGUCAUGGUUGCCAUUGAAUACUCGUGGUAUUUUCAUAGUUUCCAUUGAGUAUUCAUAUUCAAUGCUCAUAUUCAGUGGAAUACCAUGAAAAUAUGGAAUACCAUGGAAAUACUCAGUUUCCAUUGAGUAUUCAAUGGAAUACCCUCAAAAUACGGAAUACUAUGAGUAUUCAUUGGAUUAUUAUUGUCAUUAUUUAUUGAUGCUCAAAUUGUCCCAGACUUGAUUUAGUCAGUGGGAGCCUUUCUGUCUGGCUUCUAUGUCUUUUGGUCCUGGCCCUCUAUUCUUUGAGUACUUCCUUGCUCUAGAAUGAGCUUAUACUUUUCUUGCUCCAGCUCUGGCUUGGGUCCAGCCCUUUCUCCAAGCAGCCCUGAUUGUUUAAGGUGGAGAAUGGUAUUAGAAGAGAAGAUUGGCUUGCUUGGUGUGCUGCUUGCUAUUGGGGUUAUGCUGCUCCCAUGCCCUUUCAGGGGACAGAGCUAUAGGAUAGAUGCAUGUAUGGACACAUACACAGACAUUCAGAUUUACAUCUAUACUUGUAUCUACCUUUAUGUUUUGUGUAUAUUUCAAACCAUAAACUCACAUUGAUGCCUCAUAUUCCAAUUCAAAACCACAGAGUAUAUUUUGAUUUUUUCUCUCUCUCACUCUUUCUCUUUUUUUUCCUAUUUACAAAUCCUUUCUUUUCCAUUGAGACCGUUGGUCCUCAUAUUCUAACUUGUUUCAUAAGCCUCCCCUUUACUCCCUUACCCUGUGUAACUAAACUCUCACGGUUGCUGCUGUCCCCUCUUUCGCAUCAGAGCCCUCCUCCCACACUGGCUUCUCCCCUCAGGUAGGUACUCUCCUCAUUCUUCCUGGACUCUGACAUCCCAGACCAGGCCCCCUCUCUUAUCUGCACCUUCCCAUUCUGAUGUCCCCUUAGGUAGAAGCUCCUCACUUUUCUUGGGCUCUGUAUCCUACUAGGUAUCUGUUUGCAGUCCAUUUCUACAGGGAAUGUGUAAACCUGAGGAUGGGUUGCUGCCAAAUGAGAGUUAGAAACUUAAGUUUUCUGAUUCCCAGUUUUUUUCUCUCUCUCAGUUUCCUGGCAUCAAUACCAAUUAAUGGAAUCCAUAGAGGCUUGCUGUGGUUCUCUUUCUCAGUUUUAGUCCCCAAACGGAUUUAUUUUGGAAAGCAAAUAUAAGUCCAUUUACUCAUUUCAGAGUUAUCUAAAAGUGAAAAAUGCUAUUAUUUCAGCAGUUCAGAAAUUCUUUAAAUGCUUUUUUGCCUUUGAAUUUCUCAAAAGCAACUUUGUUUGGAAAUUUUAAACUUGGCAUUGCUGGUACCUAACCCUGAGUGAGGAAUGUGUGCUUUGCCUUGUCUGAAGAAAUUUGGUUUUGAAAUAACAAAGUUAUGGAUGUUUAAAAAUAUUGCAUGGAACAGACACUGUGGGUUAUUUUCCUCUGGCUUUGAAACAUACUGUAUAUUGUGAAGCUGGUAACUUUCAUGGGUGGAGGAGUUUAAUAGCAUAUACUUAACUGAUGCAAAUAUGAGAUCAUUUUAUAAGCCACAUGGGGAUCUAGUUGAGGCAUCUUUUCAAUUUUUACUCAGUAAAUUCACUUGAUCUCUGAAUAACUUAGAAUCCUGGGGCAUAGUGCCUGUGUACAUAUCACAUGCUCAGUAAUUGUUGAGCUGAUGUGAAUUGAACAUGCUUGUUCUCAUUUGGCUACACAUUUCGCCUCCAGCUCCAAGUGGCUAACUAUGGUCUGGGAGAGAGGUUGACAAAUUACAGUCCAUGGGCCAAAUCCAGCCUGCCACUGUUUUUUUUUUUUUUUUUUUUUAAAUGGCCUGCAGGCUGAGAAUGGUUUUCACAUUUUUAAGUUGUUGAAUAAAAAUGAAAAGAAGACUAACAUACUAUGAUGUAUGAAAAUUAUGUGAAAUUCAAAUUUCAGCAUCCAUAAAAGAUGUUUUGUCAGAACACAGCCAUGCUCAUUCAUUUAUGUAUUAUCUAAGACUGCUUUCAUACUACAACAGCAGAGAAGAGUAGUUAUAACAGAGACUGAAUGACCUGUCAAGCUUCAAGUAUUUACUAUCUGGCCCUUUACAGAAAGAGUUUGCUGACCCAUAAUCUAAGAGACAGAACAAACAUUUUCAGUUCCUUUUUAAGAUUUCCUGCUAUAAAAUUUAAGGAAGAGCCUUUUUGGGGGGGGGGGUGAGGGGAGCUUAGUAGAUUUACUGUAUUGUGCAACAUGUGCAAUUUUCUACUGUAUUCAUUGUGUACUAUAUACACUAGCACUAAUAACAGAUCAUUUCUAUAAUCCUAAAAAGAAAUGCAAUACGUAUUAACAGUCAGUCCCAGUGCUCUCUUCCUUCAUAUUCUCUAAUCUACUUCCUGUCUAUAUGAAUUCACCUACUCUAGAUUCAUAUAAAUAUAUAUACAAUAUAAUUAUUUCAUAUAAAAAUUUCAUUAAAAUGUUCAUACAGGCCGGGCGCUGUGGCUUAAGCCUGUAAUCCCAGCACUUUGGGAGGCCGAGGUGGGUGGAUCACAAGGUCAAGAGAUUGAGACUAUCCUGGUCAACAUGGUGAAACCCCGUCUCUACUAAAAAUACAAAAAAAUUAGCUGGGCAUGGUGGCGGGUGCCUGUAAUCCCAGCUACUCAGGAGGCUGAGGCAGGAGAAUUGCCUGAACCCAGGAGGCGGAGGUUGUGGUGAGCAGAGAUCGCGCCAUUGCACUCCAGCCUGGGUAACAAGAGCAAAACUCCGCCUAAAAAAAAAAAAUGUUCAUACGGUAUGUAGACUUUUGUGUCUAGUUUUUUUCAAAGUUCAUCCAUGUUCUCAUAUAUAGUAGUACUUCAUUCCUUUUUUACAAGGCUUUUUUUUUUUACUUUCUGCUUUCAUACUUCUGGCCUGCCUCCUCUUUGACAUUUGCUUGAAUUCCAACCUAAUACCAGUAACAGAAAAUAUUGUGGUAAGAACAGAAGUGUAAAGUGUGAAUUCAAAUAUAAAUCAUUUUUUAAAAUUCUUUCCAUUUUGUUAAUUAUACUAUUUCAACAUUAAAUGACUAAUAAGCAUAUUAUAAGUGGAGAAUUUUGGAUGAUAACAUCUGUUUUAUACAUCUCCAGGUUUAUGUCUAAUUGGUGCAUUUGUUUUUCUUUCUCAAGAUCUUUAUAAGCUCCAGAAAGAUAGCUUCUUUUGGAUUUCAUAUGCAUAGUGUAUUAGUUCAUUCUCAUGCUGCUAUGAAGAAAUACCUGAGACUGGGUAAUUUUUAAAGGAAAGUGGUUUAAUUGGCUCACAGUUCUGCAGGGCUGGGGAGACCUUAGGAAACUUACAAUCAUGGCUGAAGGUAAAGCAAACAUAUCCUUCUUCAGAUGGUGGCAGCAAAGAGAAGUGAGGAACUAAAGGGGGAAAAGCACCUUAUAAAACCAUCAGAUCUCAUGAGUACUCACUCACUAUCAAGAGAACAGCAUGAGGAUAACUGCCCCCAUGAUUAAAUUAUCUCCCACCAUGUCCCUCCCAUGACAUGUGGGGAUUGUGGGAACUACAAUUCAAGGUGGGAUUUGACACAGAGCGAAACCAUAUCGCAUAGUGUAGGGCACAGGACUUAGAAUCACAAGUGUCUGAUGGUACUCUUUCUGCAUCUGCAUCCCUGAGCGUUAUUGGACAUAUUCAUACAUUUGUAAUAAUGACAAAUCUCAAUUGGAUACUCCACCCUGCCUGAUUAUCCUGCAGACAUCUCUAGUAAGUUCACUUUCUCAUUCUCAUCCUGAGUUGGUUGCCUCAUCCCACACUUCACAGAGAACAUGGAAAGAGCAGGAUGAGAGGUCCAUAAUUAUGCCUUGUGUACCUGCAUGUGUAUCUAGAUGAUGAUACAGAUCAUCACCUAACAAUGGGUCUCUUCACCAAAGGUAAUAUUCCUUUUAUUUCUCUCCUGGAUCACAUUGCUCCUUGCCUUCUAAAGGACUUGGCUCCUCAUUUACCAUUUCCUUGUUUUCACUACCAGUUUUCCUCCUCUUCUGCAUCAUUCCAAUCAGCAUGAGCUAGUUUUAAUAAGAUCCGUGUUUUAAAUGCCUGCUCUUCCCAAGCACUUUUCUUUAAUUACUGCCUCAUGUCUUUGCUGCUUUUAAGAGACCUGCUAAAACUGUUGUCUGUGUACUUGUUAUCUUCACUUUCUCAUGUCCUAUUCUAUUCUCCAUCUAUUCUAAACAGAUUCUGUUUACCACCACUCAUGACACUUGUUAAGGUCCCUCGAGACUCCAUUUGACCAAAUCUAUCUGAUUACGUUUUUUCCUUACUUUGCCUACCAAUCACACACACUGCAUUUUUCACUUUACUUUUAAAACACUUUCUUCUCUGGUAUUCUUGGAUACCACACUCGUCCAGUUUUCUUCUGACAUCAUUGCUGACUUUUUCUUCUUUGACAAGUCUUUGCAAGGAUUGAACAUCCCAGUCAGAAAAUAAAAAAUCUGAAAUGCUUUAAAAUGUGAAAUUUUUGAGCACGGAUAUGAUGCUCAAAGGAAAUGCUCAUUGGAGUAUUUUGGAUAUAAUGCAUAUAUUCUCAAAUCCCCUGAAAAUUGAAAUCCAAAAUACUUCUAGUCCCAAACAUUUUGUAUAUGGGAUACUCAACUUCUACCUGGUCUCUGCUUUCUCCACAAUAGGUGCAACAGUACUUGGCAUAGAGUUGGUCUUGAAGAUGACUUAUGGAAUGAAUGAGCUCACCAACCUUGUUCCCAUGUUAACAUCUUUGUAUUUGCGGCUUCGCUUGGAAGACUUCCCCACCAAGCCUCUACUUGGCUUCCUCAUUGUCAUUGUUCAGCUUUCAAUUUGAGUCACUUUGGAGCAGGCUAUCCCUGCUAGCCUUCUGCUUCCCAUUCCCACCCCCGUGACUGUCUAGGACGGAAGUGGGCAAACCUUUUCUUUACAAAAUCGGAUAGUAAAUAUUUAUGGCUUCUCAGUCCAUCCAGCAUUUGUCAGGACAACCUAACUUUGUCAUUGUAGUGUGAAAGCAGCUGUUGAUACUUCCUAAAUGGGAAGCUGAGACCUGUGUGAACUAUAGCAAUCCAUUCCCUUGUUUGAUGAGGUUGGGCCAACUGGGAGCCCUGGCAAGAAAGCAAGCUGCUCCCUACUGCUCACAUUACUUGAGCUCCACCUCCUAUCAGAUCAGUGGUGGCAGGAGACUGAGACCAUCCUGGUCAACAUGGUGAAACCCCGUCUCUACUAAAAAGACAAAAAAUUAGCUGGGCAUGGUGGCGCAUGCCUGUAAUCCCAGCUACACAGGAGGCUUAGGCAGAAGAAUUGCCUGAACCAAGGAGGCACAGGUUGUGGUGAGCCGAGAUCACGCCGUUGCACUCCACCCUGGGUAACGAGCAAAACUCCAUCUCAAAAAAAAAAAAAAAAGAUUCUUAGAGGAGCACGAACCCUAUUGGGAACUGUACAUGCAAGGGAUCUAAGUUGCAUGCUCCUUAUGAUAAUCUAAUGCCUGAUGAUCUGUCAGUGUCUUCCAUCACCCCCUGAUUGGACUGUCUAGUUGCAGGAAAACAAGCUCAGGGCUCCCACUCAUUCUACAUUAUGGUGAGUUGUAUAAUUAUUUCAUUAUAUAUUACAAUGUAAUAAUAAUAGAAAUAAAAUGCAUAAUAAGCAUAAUGUACUUGAAUCAUAUUGAAACCAUUCCCCACCCCACUUCCCUGGUUUAUGUAAAAAUUAUCUUCCACAAAACUAGUCCCUGGUUUCAAAAAGCUUGGGAACUGCUGGUUUAGGAGACCAUUUGAGUAUUGGAGGCAACAAGUUAUAUAUGUUCAUCAAAAGUUGGAUUCAACCCCUUCCUUCUAUUUCCCAUAUAUUUUUUUCAUUAUAAACCCUACUGUCUUCUCCUGACUUUUCAGUUCUGGUUAUUUUUGAUUGAAACCAAUUGUAAAUGCUCUUGAUAGCAGUUUUUAGAUUUCAUCGAACAAAAAUAUUUAAGAAAACAAUUUUUUUCUAAAAUCUUAUGAAGAGAUAUUUUUUUUUUACUAGUUAGCUGUUGUGCUAUAUGUAGUCCCAAAACUUCCAACAGGUAGCACCUACUGAUCAGAAGCUUUCUUCAACAAGGUGGUAGAAAUUUGAGCAUGCUUUUAUCCCCUUUGGUAUAAAUGUCUAAGUUGUAGGGAUUCCAUUUUCAAGGGAAGCUGGUCAGCGGAUACAAGGAAAAGUCAGUACUGUAAAAAUUAAUAUUCGGCACUUGUAUUGAACUUUUGGUAUUACAGCACAUUAAAAAAUUGUAGUAAAAUACACAUAACAUAUAAAAUUUAUCUUAAUUUUUUUUUUUCACAUCCUGCUCACCAUCCACUCUGGCCCAGGACCCCAUAGCAUAUGCGUCCUUCUCCAUCACCCCAGUUUAACCAUUUUUAAGUGUACAGUUUAGUGGCAAUAAGAACAUUGUUUAAGGUUGUACAACCAUCACUACUAUCUAUUUCCAGAACUUGGUCAUCAUCUCAGAAACUCUACCCAUUAAACAAAACUCAGUACUCCCUAUUCUACUUUCCGUCUCUGUGAAUGUGCCGAUUUCGGGGUACCUCACGUAGGUGGAAUUAUACAGUAUUUGUCCUUUGAUUUCUGGUUUACUUCAUUUGGCAUGAUGUUUUCAAGGUUGAUAUUGUCGUAUGUGCUAGAAUUUUAUUUCUUUUUCACAUGGAAUCAUAUUCUAUUGCAUGUAUAUACCACAUUUGUCCAUUCAUCUGUUGAUAGAAAUUUGGGUUGUUUUCACCUUUUGGCUAUUAAAUAUAAUGCUGAGCUGAAUAUUGGUGUACAUGUCUGUCUGAGUUCCUGCUUUUAAUUCCUUUGGGCAUAUACCCAGGAUCAAAGCAUUUUGCAUAGAUCACCUUUUUUCGGUUCUGUGUGGUAGCUGGGUCAGAUGCUAUUAUUUCUAUUUUGCAGACAUGCAAAUGGAGGGGGAUUUAUUAAGUGACUUGCCCAAGGUCAUUCUAGACAUUUAAAAAUAGAAUUGGAAGGAGAAUUAGCACAUCCUAAUUCAUCCACUGCCUUUUCCACUAUACCUUGCUACCAUCCCAUUGAGCUAAUUUGUUGCAGAGGCUGAAUUAAAAAAAAAAUGUGGCUUGUUGAGUAUGGUAGCUUCUGUGAAUUUCUAAGGAGUCCCGUCUCACAUCCUAGUGAUAAACCAUCCUAUCUAGUUGCACAUUGCUCUGCAUUCUGUGUAUCAAGCCCAUGCCAAGAGCUUUAGUUUUUGUUUCUUUUUAGCUACGCCUGAAAAUGUUUCAAGAUGCUGUUUACACCAUAAAAACUUGCAAGAAAACUUCUCUUAACCGACAUGCAUCACUGCUGAGCUGCCAGAAGCACAGCCACUGUCUUCAUCAUCUGAAAACAACUAGUCAGUUCACUCAGUUCAGAGCAUGCACCGCUCAAAAGUUGUUCUAGAAGGUUGUAGAUCAAAUAAAUGUUAGUGAACUACUUUUGUGUUCACAUAUUAUCUAAAACCUCUGGUGACAUCUCUUGGAAAUGUGAUGAAAAGAUAUUUGGUGAUUUGCAGAGUGAUGAAGACUCACUGUCUGUACAGUCUGGCCUUGUGUGAGUACCAUUUUCAUUUUACAUUUGUUUUGGUUGCAUGAUAAAAAAUUCUUAACAGUUUUGGUUAAGCAUUCCAUUAAUGUAAUGCUCAUAUGGAGAUGAGAGUUCCAUAUUAUGGAACUGGAGAUUUUUAAAUGCUUUUUUCUCUUUGUUUUUGCAGGGACUGUACAUUCUGGGGUUCAGGUCUUGAGCAAGGGUCCUGUUUAUUCAAAGAGAAUUCUCUCUUCAUCUCCCGUAGGAGUUUGGUUUUCAUGUAGGACUGAAUCAUGUUGGGAGCUAUCUUUCAAUUUCUGGCUACCACAGCCAGAAAACUGUGUUAGCUAAUUGCAUUUUUGUCUAACUACGAACCCAGAGACACUAUAAAAAGUUCAGAUCUGACACAUCAAGGGGAAAAAGAAUAAACAAGCGAGCUGUGAGCUUUCUACUGUGUGGGUACAGACUCACUAGGGUUCUCAGCAUCUUUUACGUACCGUGGCCACAGUUUGAAAGGUCUCCAAGUUUGACCCGAAGUUAGACUUUAGAAGUAUCACACCUCCCUCAAGAGCAUUGUCACUGAUCUAAGACACAGAUUGCAUUUCAACCGAGUUGUCUUUGCUAUGUGGCUAAAUCUGGAGCAGAGAGAGAGAGAUAAUCACUUUGCUCCUCCUCUGAGCAAGUCUUCCCCUUGUAAUGAUGAACUUUGUUCUGGGGAGUACAUUUCUCAACUUCACUCUCAUGCUUGGGUUGCUUGGCAGUUUUUCUGAUGCUUUGGGGCAAUCUGAAUCACACCUGAAGCUGAUGGGUUGCUGACAUAUGGAGCUUUAAUUAAACCAAGCUGAAAAGAGAGAGCAUCUGGAAAGCAGGGCUGGACCUUGGAAGGGCCUGGGUGGUGCCUUUUUGAUUAUGUUUUUUUUCAGAGACCAUGUUUAUCUUCUCUACCAAAAAAAGUUGGAAUAACAUGAAUAACCAGAUUGAACUUGGUCAAAAUGUUGUGUCAAGAGAGAUUUGUUUUCUUUUGUGAGCAUUAUAGGCAGUACUUGAAAGAGUUGAAGUGGGAUUUGGUCAUGGAAACAGUUGUUUGAAGGGCACGUUGCUGCUUUGUCUCAACAGAACAUCUCCCAAGGUUGAUUUUCAUUGGCCCUAAGGGAAAGUGGUGGAGGACCACUGAGACAAAAGUCAUCCAAAAGCUCAUACCAGAAGAAGAUUUUUCAAUUCAGAACUUGCUCCAGAUGACCAGUGUAAAGGUUUGGUGAGGCAAAAGGUACCUCCUUGCUCCUGAACAUGAGCUAUCUGUUUAUAAAAUGGAGUCUAUUGCCUUUGACUAUAUGAAACAUUAAUUGUAGCUUCUAUGUGGGUCAAAAUCAAAUUGUUACUAAAUUAUAAGAAGAAAGCAGUGCACAUUUCCAUUUAGGAAGUGCUUAUUCUGAUCUAGACUCUGCACUUGACCCUAGGGAUACAAGUAUUCAUUUAUUCAUUCAUUCACUCAUCCAGCAAAUACUUUCUGGAUGAAUGCUAUACGCCAGGCACCAUUUUGGGCACUGGAUAACACAGUGAACCCAACAAAGUCUCUCCUCUGGUAGAGUAUACAUUCUAGAGGGAGAGUCAGACAAUAAAAGGAAACAAAGAAAGCUAUACUAAGGCUUGAGGGAGUUGUUAGAGGUCUGAAGAAAAACAAAGUGAGGAUAACAUGCUGCCUACACCCUUGUUCAUUUUCUCAUUUACCCAACCAAUUUUUAUGGAGGCCCUACAUGUAUCAGGCAGGCACUGAAGAGCCAAUGAAGUCUCAGCUUGUCCUGAGUACUAUGAAGAAACCAAUGGGUUGAGAUUGACAAGAAGCAAUGGCUGGAUUGGAGGCCUGUGGGGGCCCAGAAGUAUGAAAAUAGUGGGUAAGGAAGGGGUUCUCUGAGGACCUGAAGUAUGAGAAGGAAGUGGCACUGAGAAUGGUUGAGUGUGUGUGUUGGUGGGUUUGGCACUAUAGGAGAGGCAAAGAAGAUUACUGUAGGUAGGAAGAGCAGUAUAUUCAAAGGUUCUGAAGCAGAAAAGCUUUGGUGAGGGUUGGUGAUAAAAACUAAAUUUGUUCAUGUUUUCAAAGACCUGGAUAAUGAGUGUGGCUCAAGAUAAGGUUGGGGCCAGAUCAUACAAGACUUCAAAGGCCAUAUUAAAAAUUUUGAAGUCGAUUCUAAGGAUAAUUGAAAGACACAAAAACAUUUUGAGAGAGAGUGGUAUGAUCUGAUGGGUAUUAAGAUCCCUUUUACCGCAACUCAGGGAAUAGAUUGGGGUGGGUAAAAGUAGAAGCUGGGAGAGCAGCAUGGAGGCUUUUUCAAUAAUCUGGGCAGGAGAAUUGGAGAAAGAAUUUACUGGUAACCUUGUGUGCAGUAAACACUUCUUUGACAGUCUUUCUCCUGUCCUUAAUAGGAUUAGUGAGAAUAUACCAACUGUUCCAGACUCCUGCCUCCGGGCCACUGAAUGUCUGGACUAAUUUGAAACCUGUGGAGUUUGAGGUAUCUGGAAAGACAGCUCCUAUUUUAAACUUAAUUGUAUUCAGGGUGUUUCCUAAGAAGUGUAAUUCCUUCUUUUGAUGAGACUCUGACAUUAACAACAGCAAUAAUAACCCAAGCCUAUAACUCCUUAGUAUGUCAAUCAGAAUUUGAGUUUAAAAACUAAGGAUCAUAUAAUUUUCUUUGGGAAAAUAUUACUCCUUAAUUUUUUUCUCUACCAUCAUUGUUGGAAAGAACAGAGAAAAUAAGAAAAGCCAUGCAAAUGAUUUCUGGAUCAAAUUUGACAUCUCAGUUGUGGUGGUAAAAGGUGAAUCUUAGAGACAAACAGAGCUGGGUUUAAAUAUCAGUCCCACUGCUCAACUGACUGUGUGACAUGUGGCAGACUCCUGAAGCUCUGGAGUGUGUGUUUCUUCAGAAAGUGAGGUGAUACGGCCAAAAUGAUUGGUACAGCAUCCAUAUUCAUGAUAUGCCAGUUUCUGUUGCUGCUGUGGUUUGAAUGGCUCCCCCGCAAAAGCAUGUGCUUUUAACUUAAUUCUCAGUACAACAGAGUUCAUAGAUGGGAUCUUGGAGAGGUAAUUAGGCCAUGAAGACUUUGCCUUCAUGAAUAGAUUAAUGCCAAUUAUAAAAUGGCUUGAGGAAGUGAGUUUGAUCUCUUUUUCCCCGUCUUUGCCCUUCUGCCACGGGAUGACACAGCAAGAAGGCCCCCAUUAGAUGCCAGCCACUUGAUUUUGGACUUCCAAGCCUCCAGAAUUAUGAGCCAAUGAAUUUCUGUUCAUUGUAAAUUAUGUGGCUGCGCCAGGCAUGGUAGCUCAUGCCUUUAAUCCUAGCACUUUGGGAGGCUGAGGCAGGCCGAUCACUUGGGCCCAAGAGUUCGAGAGCAGUCUGAGUGACAUGGCAAAAUCUUAUCUCUAUAAAAUACAAAAUUAGCCAGAAGGGUGGCACAUGCAUGUGGUCUCAGAUAUUCAGGAGGCUAAUUGGGAAGGAUUGCUUUACCAGGGAAGCUGAGGCUGGAGUGUACUAUGAUUGCGCCACUGCACUCUAGCCUGGGUGGCAGAGCAAGAUCUUUUCUCAGUAACUAACUGACUAACUAACUAACAACUGACUAACUAACCUGGCUGGUGAGUUGGCUCAUGUCUGUAAUCUCAGUACUUUGGGAGGCUUAGGCGGGAGGAUCACUUUAGUCCAGGAGUUCAUGUCCAGCCAGGGCAACCUCAUGAGACCCUGCCUCUACAGAAAAUUAAAAAAUUAGCCAGGUAACGUGAUGCAAGCCUGUAAUUCCAGCUAUGGAGGAGGCUGAGGUGGGAGGAUCACUUGAGCUUGGAGAUUGAGGCUACAGUGAGCCAUGAUUAUACCACUGCACUUCAGCCUUGGUGUUGGAGCAAGACCCUGUCUCUAAAUAAAUAAAUAAAAAAUAAUCCAGUCUGUUAUAUUCUGUUAUAGCACACAACAGGACCAAACUGACUAAGACACUUGUUUUUCUUCCUGCCUUCCUCUUCCCUCUUCUAAAGGGCAUCUAACUUUUCUUGGCUGCAACACAGCCUAAAGAUGUUCAGCUAAGUUUUCUUUCAUCAUCACAUAAACAUGAAGAGGCCAAAGUAAACCUUCUUUCCCCUCCUUUUCUCUUCUCUUCUCCUCCGCUCUGCUCUUCCUCUUUCUUUUUAUUUGCAGGAAUAUUACAGGUUAGCAAUUACAUUCUGACCAUAAAACUUGGUGUCUGGCACUAACUCAUUUAAUUUUCACAAAAGCCCCAGAGGAAGGUGCUAACAUGAUCUCAAUUUUGUAGAUGAAGAAAUUGUGGCUUGCAGAGGUUUAAUUGCUUACCUAAUUUCACACAACCUGUAAGUGGUGGCAUGGAAUUUGAAUCCAGGCAGUCUGACUUCGAGAUUUGUUUGUGCGUUUCUUAGCUUUCUCUGUCCCUUUAGACAUCUUUACUGGAUGUGGAAAGUGAGGACAUUGGUACUGUUGAUGUUGGUGGAGAGCUGGGGAGUUCUGCUGGGAAGUAAGGAGGAUUUGGUGUUUAUGAGUGCCUGUAUCUAUGUGGCUUAUUUAUGAAAAAUGGUUUCUCCCCCUUUAUUGUCCACCAUCUGUGUCACACCUGGAGGCACUCAGUAGUUUUUAGAAAUAUGGAUGAUUCAUACAACUAUUUUCUUAUAAUGUCUAACCUCCCAGAGGAGGGACUGGAGGGGAAAGUUCAUUUACAAAGAUCAGCUAUGCUCGUAAAGGUAUCUUAAUUUGGUGAGCUGGAGAAAGCCAGGCUGCUAAUUGAUUAGCUUGUUUCUUGACCUGCUAAUUGAGGCUUGGUCUUUAUUCACAUGGCUCCUAGGCAGUUUUGGCUUCAGUUGUGUGUCCUGAUCUAAGCUUGCCAAAAUCAGAUGCUAUGGGGUGUAGAGUUAACAAGCUGGCAGAGCAUCUGGAGAUGUAAUGUCCAUGCCGUUAUGGAAAAAUGAGGAACUUCCCUUCCAAUUAGAGAUGAUUGUUCUGUUGUUACAAGCUUGUUCUCUUAACUACCUCUACUGUUACAAUUCUAAAAUAUAAGACAAUUUCUUGUUCAAUAAGGGAACACUGUGUAUGUUUAAGUGUUAUUUAUAUUACAAACUAAUACUCUCAAGUAAGUGCUUUGCAGUCACAAGUUGACUCGGUUAAAAUAGUCCAUCUAGGACUAGGUUGAACAACAGGGAAAGUUUCUGUGGAUCUUAACCACCCUUUUUGGAGAGUUAAGAUAUGCAAUACAGUUUGUAGAGAGGGAAGCAGGGUCAAUUAAAGGAUUUCUGACAGGGCAUCAACCUUUGUUGAGCUCCUUGGGUCUCUUGUGCACUCUAAUUAGGAGUAAGCUAUGCUCUGUGUUCUUGGUAUCUUCCUCUGAGUCCUCAGUCUGCUGGGAGGUCAGCUGCCUCACUCAGUGCUUUAUAGACAUGGGCCAAUCAUAAGGCAGAAAGGAGGCUGGGUGCAGUGGCUCACAUCUGUAAUCCCAGCACUUUGGGAGGCUGAGUCUGGCAGAUCACUUGAGGUCAGGAGUUCGAGACAAGCCUGGCCAACAUAACGAAACCCCAUCACUAACAGUACAAAAAUUAGCAGCAUGUUGUGGCACAUGCCUGUAAUUUCAGCUACUUGGGAGGUUGAGGCACGAGAGUCACUUGAACCUGGGAGGCAGACACUGCUGUGAGCUGGGAUCAUGGCACUGUAUUACAGCUUGGGCAACAGUGUGAGACUCUGCCUAAAAAAAAAAGAAAGCAGUAAAGAUUUGUUUUCCAUUUUCAAAGUAAUGCUUCCAUAGUACAAGAAGAGAAAAGAGCCACUUAAACCUUCUGAAAUAAUAAGAAACCAUGAAGGUUUUUUUGUUCAAAAAAUAAUAUCUUUCUUUGAGGUCUGACAUGAAAAUAUCUUUAAAGCAUAGAGUACAGAGCCUAGUCCUCAAUAAAUGGUUAUGACCAUUUAAUUCAUAUUUUAGUGCAUUUUUGGAUGGUAACCUGUUUGUCUUCCCCCACUUUUCUUCCAACCCACCCCCACUUCCUUCCUUCUGUCCUUCCUACUUUCCAACAUACAAACUGUGGUCUAUAUACAACUUGGUAACCAACUUAUCAUAUGUUAUUUUGUCUAUUUAAACUGAGUAAUCAUUAUUAAGAAAGCAGGGCCCCACACCCCAUUCACUUUUUUUUUUUUUUUACAAUGACUACUUAUCAUUGUGUUCCUCUGUGUGGAGUCAGGAAUGGAACUGGAUCUGGCAUCCCACCUGCCCUCUGUCCUUAUCUCCCAUCCUCAUUUCCUCCUGGCUUUCCAAAUGGCCAACAACUGGAAGCAGCCAAGUCCAGGAAACACACUAAUACCAAUUUCAAAAGAUGUAUUUGACUGGGAAGCACUUGCAUAAGCAGACUAUUCUUAAAGUUAAACAAAAUGAAGCUGGCCAAUAUGUGGUUGAGUAAUAAAAAUGUUGUCAAAAUUGGACUUACCCAUUUGUUCCCUAGUCUUCAUUUCCACUCCAGCUCUCUUCUUAUUUGAUUAAGCAUUUGAGUCACAAUUUGAAAUUUGGGAUCUUCUUGCUCAGAAUCAUUUUGCCUAUGGAAUCAAUGAGUUAGAAAUCAGGUUGGGGUGAAAUGAUUUUUUAUUUUUUUCCCAACACUGUGAUUCUGUGAAUUUUAUGAACAGGAGGGGGAAAACAAUGCCAUCAAAUAGCAUUUACUUUUGAAAUUUUCCUGAGAGCUGCGCAACUUGAAGUCUAUUUAUUCAAUUCCGCUGAAAGUUGUGUAGUCUUUAAACACGUGUCAAGGCGGCCAGGCUUAAUGCCUGUAUAUUUUACUAAGAGGUUGGUGGGCUUAUUUGAUUUAGCUCAUGUGAGAAGUUUAAUUGUUUUCUUCUUCUUUCUUUACUGGCAGUGACUAUAUCUGGUAGAAUAAAGCUUUGUCAGCCACCCCCUUUCAUUCUUUAUACGCGAGAGGUAGGAACUAUGGAUGGCUGGUGUUUUCUUGAGGUUCCCAAUAGACCAUGUGUUUCACAUCAAGUGAGCUAAUACCUUUCCAGCUGAAAACCUUUCAACGGCCUUAAGUUUCCAGACCAGACUUUACCUCUGGCUCCAAACAGAUCUGGUCUUCAUGUUGGUUCACCCUUAAUAUUGGCACAAUAGAUGCUGACUCAUGGGAGUAAGUCCUGAGACCUGUUUGGGAUUAUGCCUCAAGUCUUAUGCCCAUUAUUUCCCCAGCCCAAGUCUUGCCAUCCUGUUAAGGGAGGCUCUUUUUUUUUUUUUUUUUUUUGAGAUGGAGUUUCGCUCUUGUUAUCCAGGCUGGAGUGCAAUGGCGGGAUCUCGGCUCACUGCAACCUCCGCCUCCUGGGUUCAAGUGAUUCUUCUGCCUCCCGAGUAGCUGGGACUACAGGCGUGCGCCACCAUGCCCAGCUAAUUUUUUUGUAUUUUUAGUAGAGACGGGGUUUCAUCUUGUUGACCAGGAUGUUCUCGAUCUCUUGAUCUUGUGAUUCACCCGCCUCAGCCUCCCAAAGUGCUGGGAUUAUAGGCAUGAGCCACCACACCCAGCCAACGUUGGGAGGCUCUAUGCAUAUUGAUGAUGUUAGUGGCAUUGUAGAUAAUUAUGCCCCUGGAUCUUCAUAAGAACCCAACAAAGUAAGUAUGGCUAUUAUGUAUAUUUUACAGACAAGGGAAUAGCCUUAGGGAGAUAAGGUCACUUUGUCAAGGUAGAAUAAUUCGCAUGCAGAACAAUGAUUAAAAUUUAAGUUUGUAAUACCAAAGUUUACACCCUUAGUCCCCAAAUCACACGUUCUCUGCAGCAGGAAAGGUAAGUGCCAAAUCCUGGGAGGGUAAGACAUUAUCUUUUUCUUGUUUCAGUCAAAUUAAUUUAGAGCAAAAGUGAUCUUUGAGAUCAACCCCAAUCCCACCUUCUUUAUAGAUGAAGGAGACAAGAUUUGUGAUCAUAAGUAAUUUACUCAAGGUCGAGCUACUGACAGUGGUAGCACCAGAAAGAACAAAGGCCACCUGUGCUCUUUUCAGCAGUGUGCUGGGAAGGCCAAGAGUCUGAAAUGACAGAGGAGCGAGAUGGUGUUGACUAAGAGUUAAGAGAGCUAAGGGUUUUUGUCCCAAAUUAAAAUGAGAUUACACUUUCUUGAAAUACAAAUAUAAAUUAAAGGAUCCUACACAUGUAAGAAAUCUGUAAAGCUUUCCUGAUCUUCUAGUCCCUCAGUAAAAUUUAUACUCCUUUUCAGAAUCUCCAAGGCAAUGCCUGAUCACUCUGGCUGCUCAUCCUAAGCUCUGAUGGUGCUAGCCUCUUUUGAGUUUUAGAAGCCAAGCUCUUUUGCUGCCAUCUCACCUGCUGAUUGACCUAGUCUUUGUAGGGCUGGCUUCUUCUGUAAACCUAAAUUUAAAUACCUGCCCUCAGAGAAGUCUUCCAUGAUAUCACUGCGUGUAUGCAUGCCCUCUGCCCCAUCUUUUAUCAUUUGAUCUUUUAUUUUUCUUUCGCUUUUAUCACUAUUUGUAAUUAUUUCUAUAUUAGUUUGCUUGUUGAAUGCUUGCCACUUCUUCUAGAUUCAAAAUUCAGUGAAGUUAGGGCCAUGAUUGCAUUGUUCAACAUCCAUACCCUGGCACAUUUGUUGAGUGAUGGACUGGCUGGCUGGCUGGUUGGCUGACUAGAUAAAUGAAUUAAUACAUUUCCACCUGCCAAACCCUAAGUAUCCACUGCUGAGAACAAUUGCCUGAAGCUCCCAAUGGGGAGAACUUUACUCCCAUUCCAAUUCCACUGUAUUUUCUAAGACUAGUAAAGUUAAGUUACUAACACUUCCUUGCAUAAUUUUUCUUUUCAAACAAACUAGACAGUCAUUUAGCAAAAUCGAAAGAGAAGAGGGGCAGAAGGCAGACAUCAGUUUUAGAGUAGAGGUGAAGAAUCAAGUCCUGUCAUCCAUGGUACUGCACGUGAACAGUGUGUGCAUACAGGGGCCUGCAUAAAACUUCCUUUUUCAAAUGUUUAACAGUUUAAAAAAAAAAUCUCUGAGCUUCACUUAAUGCCCACUUACUUCUUCCUAAAUCAAGCUCCUCCUAUGCCGAUCAGCUUUCCCUACUGAAGAGACUCUCUGAUGCCUCCUGGCAUUCCUGGGGCCUUGUUCAGUGGCAGGCACCCCACUGAUGUUUGUCAGACUGGCUUCAUAGAGGAAAUGAGUAUAUUUUAGAAGAACAUUAGUCCAGAAGUAUUAUAUAAAUAUGAAGUUAAUGAUAAUCACAAUAUGAAUAGUGAUUAUUGAUUGAGUGCUUACCAUAUGCCAGGCAAUAUGUGGCUUUGCUUUCAAUGUUAUUUAAUUAUUAUAAUGACCCUUUGGAAGUAGGCACUUUUAUUAUUUCUGUUUCAUGGAUGAGAAAACUGAAGCUAAAGUAAUUAAAAAACAAAACAGGUUGGGCUCUGUGGCUCAAGCCUGCAAUCCCAGCACUUUGGGAGAUUGAGGCAGGUGGAUCACUUGAGGUUGGAGAGCAGCCGAGCCAACAUGGCGAAACCUUGUCUCUACCCAAAAAAAAAAAAAAAUAUAUAUAUAUAUAUAUAUAUUGGCUGGGUGAGGUAGCUCAAGCCUGUAAUCCCAGCUACUCAAGAGGCUGAGGUGGGAGAAUUGCUGAGGUGGGAGGCACAGGGCACAGGUUGCAGUGAGCCAAGAUCGCACCACUGCACUCCAGCCUGGGUGACAGAGGAAGACCCUGUCUCUAAAGAAAAAAAGAAAGAAAGAGAGGAAGUGAGGGAGAAAGGGAGGGAGGAAAGAAAAAGAAAGAAAGAGAGAAAGAAAGGAAGGAAGAAAGAGAAAGAAAGAACAACAGAGAAAGAGAGAAAGAACAACAAAACAAGAAAACCAAAAGUGCCCAAGCUCACAAACCACAUUAGUGCAGAGCCAGCAUUCCAAGCUGGUCUUUUUGGUUCUGGAGCCUUUGCAUCUAAUCACUCUGUCAUGAACAUAAGUCUUGUCUCACCUUCCCUUUUUCCUGAUGACAUGGGUAGAUACAUAAGAUUCAGGAAUGAUCUACUUGGUGAUAUAUUCUGAAGGAACCACAGCAAAGAGGCCUGGUGACCUUUGGGUAUGCAAGAGGGGCAGGGACUUCUCCCUCCUGUAGCCCUGGCUGUGUGAUUCUCAAGGAACUUGUACCACCCUUGGGAACAUGGAACUCUUCCAAGGAGAGCACCAGGACCAAGUUCCUUGUUAAUGCUCACAGCUGAUGGGCAGUGGAAAGAGACCAGGCCUAAAUGUGGCUCUGGACUUACCAACUUUGUGAUUUGGGGCAUAGCAUCGAAUUCCUCUGAGGUAGAGUUUUCUCAUCUGUGCAGUAAGGACGAGAGUAGCAGCUACCUAGUGGAGCUGUUGUCAAUGAAUAACACGUGUUAUUCAUUUGCACGUGUUUUGCAGGCAGCACUAUUUGUACAAUGCAAAAUUUGUUACUAAUGAUGGCACUUUCAAGUGAAAAACCUGAUGUCAUUUGGACCUGGUAAAAAUGAUCAGUCAGCGUUUGCUGAUUGAUUGGCACAACACUGAGGGCCCAAGAGUCCUGAGGUCCAUGCCUGUUGUCCAGACUCCAGUGAGUGCUGGGUCCCAGGCUUCCAAUGCUAUGGCCCCUGCAGUGGCUUCCAUUGUUGAGAAAGAUAAACAAGGCCAGGCCAUAGGUUCUCAAACAUCUGAGGUGUUUGCUCAUCACAGCAUGCUCUGGAGCAUAAAUGUGUACUUUAGUCCUGCUCACUGGCACAUUUGUAUUCAUUGAAAACAAUUGUGAAAGUCGUAAUAGUGAUAGCAAAAUACUCUGUCCUUUACUGACAGUCAGCCAAGCCUUGCAUAAUGAUCACACCGGAAAUCACCAUGGGGCGACAAAUCUGCUGGCUGAAGAAAGGAAACACUUCCAAUCAUUUCUGAGUCAGCUUUCUGACUUACUGGUUUUGGUCCUUUCCACAUGAAGCAUUUAUAGAAAUGUGCUUGGCUGUGAGAAAUAGACUUCCGUGAAUGGAGAGACGCAUGCCUCAGUUAGGGGUGUUGAGUGGUUCAGGAGAAGUUCUAAAGUGAGAGAUGAAUGGUUUCGUGUUUUGUGGUUCUGAAAGUUGGGGGGUAAGACUUUUUUAGAAGGGGGGUUGAGUGAACCAAUCAGACUGAACACAGAAUGCUUCCCCUUAGCAGGUCCAAACCAAACCACUUCUGACUUAGAUUGGAAAGCCAAGCUCUGUCCUCAUGUCACCGUUUAUGAAGCCAUUGCAUUCUUUGGCAAGAGGAUAUGGAGGCAAAUCACAAAAGGAAACAGAAAUCAUAUAAAAUCUUACUUUCAGUGGUGAGGUCUCUACUUCUUGUUGUCCGUCCUGGGCAAGAGAGAAGAGAUUCAGACCCAGAGCAUGUGAAGGGCCCUGGGUCUGAAUCCAGAACAUCCUUCACCACCAUUUUUGUAACGACUCUCGGUGAAAAGAAAGGGAGCUGUAUGUUCUAUCACUAAAAGUAACCAGGAUGCCAGUGACGCCACUUCUCUGUCCCAGCAAGGCCGCUUCUUAUCCAGUCUGAUAAUUUGGUCUUAGCCCCAUGCGACUGGAAGGCUGGACUGUCCUGGAGUCGUGAGCUUAUAAAGCAAAAUCUGUGCAGCAGAGAGUGCUUGUGCUGCUGUGUCUAUGUCUGGUAAUGCCUGGUCUUUCAAUAUAUUUGUUCUCAGUAUUUAUUCAGAAAUUUGAAGUCACCAAGAGCAAACAGUCCCUUAUACAGUUUAGAUGACACAUGCUUUUGUAGGAUAUUGUGUAUACAUUUUCUUUCAGAAAUAGAAAAGUAUUUCCUCGGCAAGUCUGGAAACAAGAGAGUUAAUUUCUCCAGCCCGACAGGUUUUUGUUUUUCUUUUUGAUGAGGUUCCCUGAGACCCACUGAAAGUCAUCUCAAAAUCCCAACAGGGUCAGCACUGAAUGUGAGGUGUGUGCAUCCAGAAGUGGGUACCUGUGAUCCUAGCUGAGUCAAAAACUUGGAAGAUGUGGGAGGGGAAGCAACGGAUUAGAAAUUUGAUGACUAUGACUGUUUGUGUGUAUACGUAUGUAAAUAUAGCAUCAACAUCUGGAUUAAAAAAUAGAAAAAUUUCUACAUUGUUACCCAUAUAUGUAGAUAUAAGGUUAUACUUGUAAAUAUAUAAAAUGCUAAAUAUCUGGUUGAAUAGUUUAUUUGCUUUCUUAGUUUUAUUUAAACUUAGACUAAGUGUAGAUGUAGCAUGUGAAUUCUGAUACAGUUAUGUAAAUAAGAUACUGUUUGUUUAUAAUUCGGGGUCUAGGUCUUUUUUCUUUUUAAGAAGCCACUGGUAACAUCUGUGACAUUUCUAAUGCAUUUGAACAUACAUGACAAUACCCUACCUUGGUGAAAGGGGUGAAUGCCUAUGCCUUUUAGGGAGCAGAUCCAAACUUGAAAGGCACUGCACCGCUGUACAGCUAGCUGGAUCUUCCUUUGCAGAUUUGGAAACGUUUACUUAACUGAUCUGUGUGGCUGCAGUUUCUAGGUAUUUGAUAAGGAAGAAGAGGAGUGACAUGCCUCUCUUCCAAAUGAAGCCGCAAUAUAGUGUUGUGUAUUUUUUAUGUUUUGAAGUUACACCUAGACCCAGGGACAUGGCAAUAUGGUUUGGGGAUCAUUAGUAAUCCCCUGGGAGCCUCUUGGUUUCCCCAGGCAUGCUUUCUGAGGUAUAACAGUAUGACUCUGUGGAGGCAUUGGUUUCUGGUAUGAAUUAACUUAAUAUAUUUAUUAUAUUACUUAUGAUUUUUAAUGAAAACCAGACAUAAUCUCAUUGGUGUUUCACCAAAGCACUGCCACAUUUACUUAUUUAUUUACUUUUGUGGUCAAUGAGGUUUUGAUUUUUUUUUUAAUCUCACUGAUCUUACAUUAGUGCAAAGGUAAUGACAAAAACCGCAGUUACUUUUGCACCAACCUAAUACUAUCCAUAGACAAAAGCAUUGUAUCCUGGUUUAUUCUACACUUUAUAGGUUGGCGCAAAAGCAAUUGUGGUUUUUACCUUUUUUUAAUGGCAAAAACUGCAAUUACUUUUACACCGACCUAAUAAGCAAUUCAAUAAACAUUUCUUGAGAGCAUCACACACUUUGAUGAGGGUGACAGUUACCAAGAUAAAAAGACAUAAUUCCUGCCCUUAACAAAUUCAGAGCCUAGUAGAGAAGCCAGAGGACAAAUAAUCAAUGCAGAUUCCUGGAUUUCCAUCUUAGAGUUUUUGAUUUAGUAGGUCUAAGUGGAGCUUGGGCUUCUGCAAUUUUAAUAAGCGCACUUGGUCAAUUCUGAUGCAGGUGCUCAUGGGUCACAUUGGAGGGGAGCACUGGUAUGCUGGAGGCAGAAGCAACAUUGAGAAGCUGGGACUGUGUUUGUUGAGGAGUGGAGUCAAGAGUUUUGAAGGAUGAAUAGGAGUACAACAAGUUGAGAGAGCAAUAGCACUUGCAGAGACAGGGUUGUGGAUCAUCAUGGUAUAUUUGGAACACUAGUUUUUUCAUGUGUUUGGAGGUUGGCAAAAGUUGUGUGUGAUGAAGUUAGAAAGUGAAAGUAAUUUCUGGAGAGUACCUGAGGCCACCUAAUUAAAGCAUUUCAGUGAAUAAAUGGGUCAAAUUGGUUUUUGAUUUCUUGUGGACGAAAACGAGGGAUGGAUUAGAAGUUUGAUCUUGCAGUUAGUCAUGAUGGUGAUAAAUGGAAACAGUCAUUACUGUGCUAAUCAGUAUGUCAUAUUCUCCUCUGAUAACCAGCACUGAGUAUUUCUAGGGAUAAUUCAGCUUAGAUGCUAGUAGUAGGGAUAUUUAGACACAGCAAUGAGUUAAAAAUAAGAAUGAGGCCAGGUGCGGUGGCACAAGCUUGUAAUCCCAGCACUUUGGGAGGCUGAGGUGGGCAGAUUACAAGGUCAAGAGAUUGAGACCAUCCUGGUCAACAUGGUGAAACGGCAUCUCUGCUAAAAAUACAAAAAAUUAGCUGAGCAUGGUGGCGCGUGCCUGUAAUCCCAGCUACUCAGGAGGCUGAGGCAGGAGAAUUGCCUGAACCGAGGAGGCGGAGGUUGCAGUGAGCCGAGAUUGCGCCAUUGCACUCCAGCCUGGGUAACAAGAGCGAAACUCCGUCUCGAAAAAAAAAAAAGAAAAUAAGAAUGUGAGCUCUUUUCCUUUUCCUUAUAUGAAUAUUCCCCCCAAAGAGUAGGCUUUCACCUGUCUGAGGUGUUUAGAUAUUUGGAUACUUGGAUGCCUGGGAGUACUUAGGUGAUGCCUCAAAAUGUCUACUCCGUAAAAUGAGAAGGGAUCUUGGGGAAAAAAUGUUGCUUUCUCUCUCUUUAGCAUCAAUAAAGCUAUGAAAAUAAUGGGGAAUGGUCAAUGGUCUUACAGUACAGAUAAAUAAAUAAUUUCCAACAGAAUAUGUGAUUUUCUUCUUGCAUUGUUUUAGAUGAAAUCAGAUGCAUUCAAGGUGGUAUGGCCAUAUACCUUGCAUUGUUUUAAACCAAGGGAAUUUUACAGUGAAUCUGAACAAGAAGAAGAUUCCAUGCAAAAUCUGGCCAUUGCUUUCCAGUUAACCUUUACAUUGCUUUAUGUUAGAAUAAAACUUUUGGUCAAUUGUUAGGUGGGUUCUGAGUCACUUGAUCCAGCAGGGGAGAGAAAGGAAAUUCUUUGGGAAACCUUGUUUGGUGACAUGCAGUUGUUGGUGAGGUAAAGAGAAGGAAAUAAAAAUGUAGUCAGAAAUUGAUUAGUUGUCAGAGACAUUCAAGAGUCAUUUUUCAUUUUUCUUUUUUAAAAUUGUCAUUCUUCAGACAUUCUAUAGACACUGUUUAUUUAUCAUGCUAUUAGCAGAAACUACGCUGCUCUAAAAAGUUACAUCAUCAAACCAAAUCCUCAUCCAGUUUCACUGCAGUGGGACUCUGCCCACUGCAUGCUGCUCCAUUAUUAUUGUAUCAGCUUUUAGCAAUAACUGACACCUAUCUGACAUAAAAUUGAUACUUGGCAGAGAAAAGAAAGCCUGUUCUUCUGUGCUUAGGGCAAGUGGAUUGAAACUUGCUUAAAAACCGUUUGGGAGUCAAAUUGGAGUAUCUGUCAGCAACAUUUCCUCACUUAGGUACAGUAACCAGAAGGUAGCAUCCAAAAAAUGUUAACCAUUGUUGGCUCUGAAUGUCUCUGAGAGAGCCCCUGUUUAGAUUAAUGGCCGGCCGACUGAAUAGGGGGUCAUAAUGGGUGGCCAGACUCUUUGCAACACAGUAGGCCUAUUGUACAUGUAACAGUGACUAAAUUCAAAGCGUUUCAUGGUUUGGAUGCUUCUGUAAAUAUACGUUAGCCUUUAAGUAAACCAGAAAUUAUACCAACUUUUAGUUUUUUUAAGAGAAUAAAGUAAGGGAAAAAAAAAAAAGAUGAAACAAACAAACACCAGAGAGCUUUCUUUUGCAACAAUGCCUUCUUUUUUUUUUUUUUUUGACAUUGCUUUUUAAAGGUGCCGCGGUCCUGGGCGAAUGAAUAUGGGUUUUUAUCCCUUGAAACAGAGGCCUGCUGUCUGACGGAGGAUUCUUUUUCCUGCUUGACUGGCAGGACUUUCUGUCUCACUCCCAUUAGAGAAGAAAUACUGUUUAGAUUUCGACACAAGAUAUUACCAGUGGAAUAAACAGUGCUAUUUUCAUGAUCAAGUGGAUGUUUAAGAUUAAGGGUUUAUUUAAGCCCACUGGUGAGUGACAUUGCACUUGAAUUAGGAGGCACUCCUACGGGAAACAAGUUUUAUCCACCUAAUUUUGCUAUUUUCUAAGUUUUUCCUCUGCAGCAGACAGAAGCAUAGAUACCGCCAUAACCUUCUGUUGAUCCGGAACGCAACACCCAGAAGUAAGCGCUUGCAAGUUUAAGACAAAGAGCUCCCAUGUAAACGGCAGGGGGAGCUCGAGGACUGGCUGCGAGGCCGCAAAGCGGCCACGCACGGGAAAGGCGAGGAGCAGUUGGAACAAUUACCCGACUUCCCUGCUUCUUUUCUUCUCUUUUUUAAAUGUAGAAAAGGAAAAAGAAAAGGAUCAUCAGCCAGAAAACGAAGGGCGCCAAAGAACCAAAUUCCUCAACCCCAAGGUGACGUAGUAGAGAUUCCCUACUACUUUGUAGGACACCAGCAACAUGGACACAAACCCUGAAGAUUGAGAAUAUGCAGAUAUUCUGAGAGAUCCCCCAGCCAAUGAGAGAUUCCAAACGGAAUAGAGAGUGCUGAGAAGACAAAAGCACAUGUAGUCUGAUAAGGGCAUGGUCUGAUAUGGGAGAAAUUUCGGUGGAUAGCGGAGGAAGCAGAUGAUGCAGUAUUCUGAGAAAGGGAUUAACAUGAUUAAAAAUGGUGGCCAAGAAAUAUGAUUCUUGUUGUUGCAUUGGAAGGCCUGGAAUUAGAGAGGAGCCAGAUGAAAUGCAGAAAGCAUGGUCGCCUUAAAGAGGAAGAAGUAAGACUGGAGUUUCAAGCUGAGGCAUGAAAGAGACGGGGUUUCACCUUGUUGACCAGGAUGGUCUCGUUCUCUUGACCUCGUGAUCCACCCGCCUCGGCCUCCCAAAGUGCUGGGAUUAUAGGCCUGAGCCACCGUGCCCGGCCAGCACAAAGAAUUUUUUAAAACUCUGCAAUAUCAUCCACCAGUCAUAAGCACGAUUAAGAUGUUUUCAGGAUUCCAGAAGACCCAAGCCUGCACACAGCGUGUUCACAUCUGUCAUGUCUGCUGAUCAUGUUUCAUUGUCUCAUCAGACUUCACCUACGAAACACAAGUAAAAGGAAAGAAAACAUAAGGGCUACGUCUUCACUUUCAAUAUGAUAUGAUAAACACAGACAUGGAACGGCAUUCAUUUUGUUUAAUAUUCCAUGAAGGCUAUCAGAUACACCAUCUUUUCUUCUGAGUAAUAGCAGGCACUCUCGGGCUGUCAGAUGAUAUGCCAGGUAGAAGCUUUCUAAUGAGAGGGAGGAUAUACAGCGGUGCUCAUCUGAUUCAGAACGUACAUGGGAUUCACCAGUAUGACACCUCAACAAAUGGUCUCUUCACACAGGUCAAUAACACUCAUUUCACAACUAUUUAUUGAUCUAUAAUUUGCAAGUUAUAGUCUGAGCACUAGGAUAUAGCAGCAGGCUCUUUUCAUGGAAGAUAGACAAGUAAGUAAGUAGUAGAGGCAGCUCUUUUCAUUUGAACUGUGAGGGAAAACCUUUCUGAACAGGAGGCUUUGAAUGAAUUUCUAAAAGGAGUCAGUCAAGUGAAGACAUGGGACGUGGCAUUCCAGGCAGGGGAACAGCCCACUUAAAGGCCCUGAGGCAGAAACAGUAGUUGGCAAAAGUGAGUAAGCAACAGAGACAAUUGACUGACAGGAGGUUGGGUGGUAAGUCAUGAACUAGAUCAUUUUAGGUCUUGUAGGCGCUGGUUAGAAUUGCUGACGUGAUUUAGUUACAGUGGGGAGCCCUUGGAGGAUUAUAAUUCAAGAGAUUACUUGAUUUUAUGUUUUAAAUGUAUCAUUCUUACUAUGAAUAAUAUUCUGUGAAUAAGAGAUUAUAUGGGCAAGUGAGGAAGCAGGGACACCAGCUGAGUAUUGAAAUGAUACAGGAUAUAAAUUAUAGCAGUAAUAAUAGCAAACACUUAAACAUGCUUACGAUAUGUCAAGUACUAUUCCAAGGACUUUAAAUAUGGCAACACACUGAGUCUUCAUAACAACUCUACCAUAAUUUCAUGUUAUAGAUAAGGUAACUGAGGCACAAAAAGCUUGAAUGGCUUGCCCAUAGCUGUUAAGUAGCAGAAAUGCAAUUUGAAGUCAGACAGUUUGUGCUCUCAGCUGGCCCUCAAUUAUGGUAGAAGCAGUGGAGACAGAGAAACAUGGAUAGUGGAUUAGUGCUCUAUUGCUGUUGUGACAAAUUGCCACAAACUCAGUGGGCUAUAGCUUAUGUCUUUAUUAUCUUAGAAUUCUGUAGGUCAGAAGUUUUACUGGGAUGAAAUCAAAACCUAAGCAAUUAGUUCCUUCUGGAGGCUAAGGGAGAAUUCAUUUCUUUGUGUUUUCUGGCUUCUAGAUGUCAGCCCCAUUCCUUGACCUGCAUCAUUCCGUGGCCCUGCCUCACAUAGGCUUUUUUCCUCUCUCCCUCCACUGCCACCUUUAUCACCUUUACCUUAGUGUCUUUCUUUUUGUUCUCUCUCUCCCUGAUCUAACUCUGAUUUUCCUGCCUCCCUCUUAUGAGAAGCCUUAUGGAUUACAUUGUUCCUACCCAGGGAAUCCAGGAUAAUCUUCCUAUCUCAAGAUUCUUAACCACAACUGCGGGGGCCCCUUUGCCAUGGAAUAUUCACAGGUUCUGGAGAUUAGAAGUUUUUUUCUGGGGCAUGGGAGGAGAGUCAUUGUUCAGCCUACUAUGCACAGGUUCAAGAUGUGUUUUAUAGGUACUAUACAAAAAAUUUUGGAGAUCCAUUGGAUGUGGGGAUUGAGAAAAGGAUUUAUGAACCAAGGAUGCCUUCUGGAUUUUUUUGGCUCGGACAACUGGCUGGAUGAUGCUACCACGUAACCAGAUGGACAAAACACUGGGGAGAAUCAGUUUUGUUGGGCUUUCAUCACGCUAUGGAAUGGUGGAGAAAUAAGAAGGAGAAAUGGAGAGCAGUGCAAACCUCAUGUACGGUCUGUUUUGUGGGAGAGAAAUGAACAUAACUAUUCUUUAAGGCAAGGUUUACCAACAGGGAGGUUAAUAAUCAGGAUCUGUAUUAUACAAACAACCAUGUGAACUUAAAAGCAGAUAUUUUUCUCAGAGUCUUCAAAUACCAGUCCAGCCAAGCUGACAUCUUGAUUUUAACCUGAUUUACAUAUGACAUCCUGUACCUUCGACUCAUUGGCCUAGUUUUUUUACACCUUGAGAGGAAGGCAAAGGAGGGACAAUCAGGUUCCUCAAAGAAAACGAACAUUGGGCUAUGAUUGGAGCUCCAUGACUAACCAUGGGAGAAGGCAAGGAGAGGUGACAACAUUUAACAGGUCAUCCAGACCUGGCUUCUGCCACAGUGGAAGUUCUUACUCGGGUGGAUGACUAUUAGACUUAUUGAAUCUGUUUGCCUAAAUCGUCUGGUAAGUGAACCCAACCCACCAUGACUAGUUAGUUUCUGUCUGUGGGUCUUCUCUGCCCAGUGUCUUUCUGUCCAAAUACUGAAGGCCAGAGAAUCCCUUUGGAACUUGGAAGAGUUUGAACCCCAUCAGCCACUCCCAGGUGGGGUUGCACAACCUUAGAGGCCCUGUUUGUUGACCACUAUAUAGUGUCACACUGAAUAUCAGACUUGUUUCAGUUUUGUUCAGUGGUUUUGUAUAAACAGAGCCUGCUUUUGUCCGGCUGUUGCAGUGCGACUUUCCAAGUGUAUAUUAUAGGUUGUUGCUUGGGGAAUUUUCUGUUAUUUAAAGUUUCGAUUGAAACCUCAAAGCUGAGAGCAGUGAGUUCUAAGUAUGCACUCUCUUAACCUAAACUUUCAAGAUUUAUCAUGAGAUUACAAAGCCAGUCCUGAGAUCCAUGUCCUAUUAGCUAAUUCCAGAAAAUACAAUAGAAAGUAGAAGUUAGAGAUUUGUUAGAGGAGGCUGUGUUUGGAGGUCUUUCUUUCUCUCUCUCUCUCUCUCUCUCUUUUUCUUUCUUUCUUUCUUUUCAGACGAAGUUUCACUCCUGUUACCCAGGCUGGAGUGCAAUGGCAUGAUCUCGGCUCAUCACAACCUCUGCCUCCUGGGUUCAGGCAAUUCUCCUGCCUCAGCCUCCUGAGUAGCUGGGAUUACAGGCACGUGCCACCAUGCCCAGCUAAUUUUUUUUGUAUUUUAAGUAGAGACGGGGUUUCACCAUGUUGACCAGGACGGUCUCAAUCUCUUGACCUCGUGAUCCACCCGCCUCAGCCUCCCAAAGUGCUGGGAUUUCAGGCGUGAGAGGUAUGUCAUAGAAGAAAAGAAUGUUACUGUCAUUCCAUUUACCAAGUAAGUCAGAAAGGGCCCCAGGAGAGUCAUGGGUCAGAUACUUUUGUCGUACAGGAAUGAAGCAUGGUAAGAGAUCACUCUAGAGCACCUGAAGUUGGUUCUGUCAGGUUUGGGGAUAUUGGAGAAUUGAAGAAGUUAUACGUGCGUUUGCCUGGAGAAUUCUGAAGACAGAAGGCUAGCUAAAGUCACCUGUGAUGAUAGGAAAGGAGGGCAGAUAUAGGCCAGUGUAACCAGGACAGAUAUGAUACUUUAAUCAAUACUACUGACAUUUUCAUAUCACUUUAUUAGGUCUAGAUCAGGGUUUCUCAGCUUUAGCACUACUGCCAUUUGGCAUGAAAUAAUUCUUUGUUAUGGGAGGUUGUGAUAUGGUUUGGCUGUGCUCCCACUCAGAUAUCACCUUGAAUUGUAAUAAUCCCCAUGUGUCAAGGGUGGGGCCAGAUGGAGAUAACUGAAUAAUGGGGGCAGUUUUCCCUAUACUUUGCUCAUGGUAGGGAAUAAGUCUCAUGAGAGCUGAUAAGUUUUAUAAAUGGGAGUUCCCCUGCACAUGCUGCCUUGCCUGCCACCGUGUAAGAUGUGACUUUGCUCUUCACUCACCUUCUGCCAUGAUCGUGAGGUCUCCCAGCAGUGUGAAACUGUGAAUCAAUUAGGCCUCUUUGCUUUCUAAAUUACUCGGUCUUGGGUAUGUCUUUAUUAGCAGUGUGAGAAGAGAGUAAUAUAGUUGUUUUGUGAAUUAUAGGAUAUUGGGCAGCAUUCAUGAUCUCUACCCACUAGAUGCUAGGAGUAAUCCCCGUUGGAAGAACCAAAAAUUUAUCCGGACAUUGCCAAACGUUAGGCAUUUGAAGGGCAAACUUGACCUUGGUUGAGGCAAGUCGUCUAGACAGUCAACAAAGCAAAUAGUCCUGAUUCAUAGUGUUUGCCAAUUUUGUGAUAUUCAUACCUCCGCCUUCGCCACUCUCAAGCUAUCAGUGUGAUGCAACUAAAGGCAGAGUUGGAAAGGGAGCAGGACAUAGUGUUUCCAUCAUGCCUAUCAGAUAGAUAAAAGUAACUUCAAGAGUGUAGAUGAUAGUAAAAUAAUAACAAUUAGGAAGUGGUGAGUUUUGAAAAAUAUAUUUUUGUUUCUGAUAAAAUGUAUUUAUUUGGUAGUUUAUAUACUUUAACUUUUAAUGAUGCCUGUGUUUAACAACUGGUUUAUAAAAUUUCUGAGAAUUUAAUGGUCUGCUCUCAUGUGCCAUGUGACUUGCCUGUAGCACACAUUUAUAGCCAAAUUAGGAAUGUAGAGAGGUGAGAUUUCUUCUCCCCACAGCUUCCGGUAUAAUGUCAAACUGACCCUAAUUUGUAAACUAAAUAAUUAUACAUGCCAUCUAUAUUUCAAGCAUCAGCCAUUCCCCAAGGGAGUCUUUGCUUUGUUAUCUCGUGGUAAUUUUUUUGUCGUCUAAUAUUUUUACAAGUUUGUAUCUGGCAUAUUUAGGGAAUUGGGGGGUUGUCUUAGUUCUUUUCCAUGUUCAUCCAUUUGACAGCUGACUCUCAGUAUUCUAUGUUCUUCAUAGCCAUUUCCAGUGUCACUGCCAGCCCCUGGUUGUUUGCUGUUGUUUCACUCCUGGAAGUCUGGAUCUCUUGCCUUUGAUGAUGUGCCUCCAUCCUGAGCAGUAGAGAGAUCAGCAGAGGCCACAAUUUCAUGUCCAAGCCAUAGAUGUUAGCUUUGCUCCUCUCCCCCAGUAUUUGCGUUUACUUUCUCUUAAAAAUCAUAUCCUCUGAAAUUUCAUUAAUGUUAAUUUCUUUAGCCUCUUCCCAAGGGAGAAAAGCCCAAUUCUGUAUUUGCUCUUAUCUUAGAUACCUUUUUUCUCUUCAUCAAUCCUCCUGGUGCAACACAGAGAAAUCACAGAAGAAUAUGUACAAACUCUGAGAUAGUCAUUUUAGAAUAACGCCAGCAAUGGGUGGUAUGGGUACACUUCACAUCUAUAGGUAGAUAGAUAGAGAGAGAGAUAGCAGAUGAAUAUAUGUAUGAACCCAUAUAUAUGAAUUAUAUGUAUUUCUUUAUGUAUCUUCUAUAUCUUGUAUGUCAUACUCACCCAUACACAUAUCCUCUUUGUAUAGGCAUAGAAUACCGAUAUUCUAUAAGUGUAGCUAUAGUGAACAGUAAUUAUUUCUGUGAAUGUGACCUGUGAAUGUUUUUGUAAGUUUGUAUCCAGUUAGCUAAAACAGGUGCCUACCAGCCUUAAUUUCUCCAGGCCUCUUUGAGACCAAACCCAGAAAGUCCUUCAGCCUCCAUUAGGUUGGUUCUAAGUGAAUGAGAGUGUUUGCUGUUGAUGUGCACUUUUCUCUUUUGUCCUCUUUCUCUAGCGUGAUUUUACUGGUUCGUGGUUCUGCCCCCAUGAUUCAGUUAUCUCCAUCUGGCCCCCCCCUUGACACAUGGGGAUUAUUAGAAUCAAGGUGAUAUUUGAGUGGGAACACAGCCAAACUGUAUCAACAACCUCCCAUAACAAACAAUUAUUCCAUGGCAAAUGGCAAGAGUGCUAAGGUCCUCUUUUCUCUUUGGUCUCUUUCUCUAGCAUGAUUUUACUGGUACUGGUUCUCCAAUCCGCUCUCAUGAUCUUCCUGCUUUACUAUAUUCUCUGAGAACAUUUUGGUAAUCGUCCCAGAGAAGCCCUAGUGAGGAUUAUCGUGUUAAAAGGGACAUGGUAAUGUCAUGCUUGUGUGGAUUUCCUUCAGCAAAUGGGCCAGCUCCCUUGUGAAACUUCAAGAACAUGGUACUCAGAGGGAUAAAGUUCAUGAAGCGGAGGGAUGAGAAGACUUCGGACACAGAUUGUGUGGAGGCUCUGAGUCUCAUAGUGACCUGGCUGUGGGAGAAGGAGGAGGCAUUCCAUGUUGGCUUCAGUGAGGAAGGUUUUGCCUGUCCACAUACCCACACAUCUCUUUCCUUCCUCCCAGCAUGCACUGUGUUCAUCUUCAACUCCACCGCCUCCUGCAGAAAAACACAUUAAUACUAAAAACAGGUAAAAAAUCAAUUUAGAGACACUGAUUUUCCUAGAGUCACACAGCUCAUGCCUGACAGAGAUGGAAUUCAAACUCAAAUCUGAUUUCAAGGUCAAUGUUCAUUCGGAAAAGAGAGCUUCUGUGUAACAUGCAUCUCAGAAAAGCGAGAGUAUAUUCGUCUUAGUGGCAAUGGAAAGAGAAAAAACUUCCUGUUGUGUGUUUCUAGAACUUGAAAUUUCACCCCUUUCACUGACAUGUGAACUCCUUUUUUUAAUGUUUCAUCCUUUUUUUAUGUUUUCACAUUUCUAUUCUCUUUCUUUUAUUGUGAUUUGGGUAAAAAUUGUUUACUUGCUUUGAUGGUUUUCCCUUAAGACAUGGUGUGUAUAUUGAGGGCAAAUUGUUAUCUUACUCAUUUCUCAUUCUCUCCAUGCAAAGCCUGGUUCUGUGCACAUAAGUAAGUGAGUAAUAAAUGUUCAUAAUGAAACAGGAGCUCUGCAUGAAGGGAGGACCCAGCACCAAAGCACCUCUCAGGUCCUGUGACAUCUGUAUUAGCAUUAAAGAUAGAAGAAACCAUUUUUUUGGCACUGCAGUUUAGUCUGCUCCAGCCAAACAUAGAAAGCUGUCAUGCGAAUAUUUUUGAACCUCAAAAACAAUUUUGGUUUAAGUCUGGGUGGGGGAGGAGGAGAAUGGUGGCUCUUAUUUCUCCCACACCAGUCCACCCAUCUCGUAUUAGAACAUGUAAUUCCAACAGUGCUGACUGUCAUAAAAUUUGUGAACAGAGUGUCCUCUGAACACUGUUUGGUACACACAUUGCCUCUUUAAGAAACUUACUUGUAGCUUAUAAUUAAAUUAAAGAACUAGCAGCUGCUGAAAAAAGUAUAGCCUAGAGGCCAUGUUUAUGAGUUUCUCAGGCAAGAGGUAGUCAUGUCAGAACCACUAUUGUUAUGAGUCUGAAUGUUUCCAAUGAAAUCUUUGCACGAAGCAUUUGCUCAGUACCAGUCAUCCACUGCCUCUUGACUUCAGCCCACUGUUUCCUCUUGGAACUGGCAAAAACAACUCUAUAAAGAAAAACAUUUUAUACAAAAAAUCAUAGUCUUCUGCUUUUUAAACCACAGAUGACCUGGACUCUAUGACCAAUUCAAAGGGGUGCUGCCUCUAGUUCCAAAGGACAGGGGAGAAAGACUACAACAAUCAUUAAGCCCAUGGAGGCAGAAACUCUGGCUUCUGUUUCCUUUGUUUCCUUUCAAAGGGAUUUUUAUGCAUUGUAGGUAGGAGAUCAACUGCCCUGGUUUAUACAGGACUGCCCUGGUUUUAGCACUGAGAAUCUCAUAUCAUGACCCCAUUCUUGGUCAAAUUGGGACAGGGGGUCAUCCCAGCAUUCAGGGCCUUAUCCAUGCUGUUAACCGAAAGUGAAACAUUUGGGGAUCAGUUUAUGAUUUAGAAGGUUUUGAACUGUCAUACCCAAAUCACACAUCAGUGGUCAUGUCCCAGUAAAAUUAUACUAUAAAAGAAGUCAUAGAAUCUCCAAACAGUCCUUAAAUACCUUUUACUCCAAAGCUUCUAAUCUGGUGUGCCCAGUGGUAGAUGUGAACACAUUGCACCACUAAUGCAGGUGUGUUGAGGUGUUAAUACCCCAGCCCUGUUUUGGCUGGGCAGAGUCUGGGAUGCCUCCAGUCCUCAGUCCCUUUCCCCUAGCCAUGAGCUAUCUUAUCUCUCUCUUUAGACCAGUGAGUGCAACUGAAUAAUAUCAUUUUCCAUAUGUGCCAUAAUAAGAAGAAAAGGUUGGAAAGUAGUGCUCAGAUCCAACCCACUAAUUUUAUGGGAAAAACCUAACUUCAUUUCUAUUAAAUACAGGCUGUAUGAAGCUAAGGCAAAACUGCUUGCAAUUUGUCUUGUGCUCAGGGUGACUUAAAUCAUUGCCUGGGAAAGUUGAGGAAUUAUGGCGUGAGUUGUGAGUGGCAAAACUCAGCAAGCUACAUUUGCAUCAAAGGCACAUGGCUGGAUAAAUGAGGAGAAAAAAAUAGACAUUUAUCUGAACAAUAUCAAUAGAAAUUCUCAUGUUGCUUCGCUUACCUGUGUUUUUAGUAAACACAUACAAUUUAUAUCUGAAUUAUCUUUGAGUUUGAGUUAACCUGAUGUUUCAUUUCCACUCUUGACUUUGGACAUAUGCAAAGUUAUAAUUCCAAAAAUCCAGAUAUCCAGAAAGUAAAGAAAGCUAAGUAAGAAUUAUACACUUAAAAUCCAAGUUUCCAAGAUCAACAGGCAUUUACACCUCCUCUUAAUUAUUCCAUAACAAUUUACUCAAGUUCAAAAUGGAGAAAAGAUACAGAGUGAAAGGCAACAUGCAAAUAAAAGUCUACAGUCUUGAGGGUAUUUGAGUUCUAAAUUCCCAUUCCCCUUGCUAGUCUUCACAGGCAUGAGUAGAGAAAGAACAGAUUCUGUGUAUAAAGCUCGGCCUUUACAAAUCCAAACUUUACAUUGUGCCAAAUUUGAAGCCUGCCCAACUUCUGGCUCUUCAAUUGCUUAAUACAUUAGUGGACUUGUUCCAGUUCCCAGUGGUCGGAGUUCCACAUCACACAGCCCCUGUCCCAUCUGGUGCUAAUUGGCACCCUUGUUGGUAGUUUCCAAAAGCAGAACAGGAAAAAUAAAAGGGACUAUCUUUCUAUCCUUAGAAGUUAGAAGCUGAGUACAGGCAGUCCUCAGUUUAAAAUGAGCUGUGUACUAAAAUAUUAUAUGUAAAUCAGCUGUUUAGAACCCAGAACAAAUUUUUCCAAUGAGACAAAGUCAUGUUUGAUUGUUGGUUCCCCAGGUCAGCCCAGUUCACAGAAACCUGUUGGACCCAUAAUAUACCCAAUAAAUUGUUUCCAUCUUAAUAGCAUAGAGCCAUCAUCAGUGAACCAAGAAGUAGGAAGAGGUGGUGAAAGCAUCACUACCUUUGGUAGCAGAGGCCAGGCUGGCUUCUCACCAGUUGUGUGAUUUUAGGCAAUUCCCAGAACUCUUUUUAGCUCUGAGUUUCUGUAACUGAAUGGAGAGGGGCAGAUGGUAAAAGUUGCUUUUUGCCUUCACUGGGUUAUUGUUGCAAGGCUCAAAUAAGACAAUACAUAUGAAAUAUCUUAAAAACUACUUUCACCUUCCACUGAAAUAAUGGAAUCACAGAUUCUCCUUCUGUUUCCUUCCUACACCUUGUCAGCAAGAGGACCAGGGACUACUUGGAAUUCAAAUUCCACAUUGUGGUUCCCAUUUGAAGAAAGUGGUUAGAAGGCAAUGAAAUAGUAAGAACAGUGACGACUGAGGGUGGCACCAAGGGGUGGCUCCUGUAGGACGGAAGACCGUUUAUUCCAUAUAAGGCCUCAAAGGUGAUUUCUUGGCCCAGGCUACUCUUUGAUAUCUUUUAUUUUCUUCCUAGAACCCCAGGGACUGGCCUGGUGUUUACAUUGUCAACACUUGCUGCUUCUGAACAGCAUAUCUUCCUUCCCAGUGUUAUUGAAGACUCAGCAUCCUUUCCGAGGUUUCAUAAUGAAUUUGAUUACCUGAUUAUAAGAGAAGGGAUAUAGAAAGUCAAAAAUCUCACCUCUGUAUGUACAUUUAUCUAUACAUGAUGUAGAUGAAAAAUAAGACCAUACAUACAUUUUUUUUUUUUUUUGAGACGGAGUUUCGCUCUUGUUACCCAGGCUGGAGUGCAAUGGCACGAUCUCGGCUCACCACAACCUCCGCCUCCUGGGUUCAGGCAAUUCUCAUGCCUCAGCCUCCUGAGUAGCUGGGAUUACAGGCACGCGCCACCAUGCCCAGCUAAUUUUUUUUUUUUUUGUAUUUCUAGUAGAGACGGGGUUUCACCAUGUUGACCAGGAUGGUCUCGAUCUCUUGACCUCGUGAUCCACCCACCUCGGCCUCCCAAAGUGCUGGGAUUACAGGCGUGAGCCUCCGCGCCCAGCCCACCAUACAUACAUGUAAACUGCAGACUUUUAUAAUCUAAGGACAAUCUUAUUUUGUUUACACCUGAAAGAUGGAGCAGACUGAGGGAAUUUAAUCUCAGAAUCCCUCUGGUGUGCUGGAGAUGGAGAGAAUAGGCUUAAACCUCUCAGUGAGGACUGGUGACAGAACAAGGAGGCAUCGCGGAGGCUGAUAAGCCUGGGCAACAAGGCAGACUUCUGGAAGAAGUGAAAAGAAGAGGUCGUCUGGGAUGAGAUGAUUGCCCUUCCCUGCCCUCCUUACCUUCCUCCCCUUCCCACAAGGAAGGGACUACUGUCCACACCGUUAUGGCAGCAUUUACUCCAACUGCAGCAUUUCACUGACUUCUGACCACUUUCUGUUCUGUCUUCAUCUUAGUGAUCCUCCUUCUGAGUUUCCCCUUGACUUAUCCUGCAGGCGCCUCCCAUCACACUGUACCAUCUUCUGUGAUAACGCCAAGCAGUCUUUUCUUUCCCUCUUUCUCCAUCUCCAUUCUUUUCAGCUACCAAUAACCUCUCCCUCCUUUUGCCUCAUUUCAUCCUCAGGCUUUUCCAUUAGGCUUCUGCCCGCUCAAUUUGAUUUAACAUUCAUUACUCCAUUAGAAAUGUGAGGAUGGUUAAACCCUAAUUCCUAGCAUUAGGCAGCUGACACAUUUACAGAUGCCAUCAGCAUGAUACAAAGCAGCGAAUGCAGAAGUGGAGUCUGAGGACACAGAGGAGGGAAAUCCAAAUUCCCAAAAAUGUGGAUUUUCUCAGAUGGGGUGUGAAGAAUCAAGGAGAACAUCAUGGAGGUGGUGGCAUCUAAGGUGGGCCUCAAAGGGUAUAUGAGAGUUCAACAAGGAGAGAAACUUUUAAGUAAAAGAAAGAUACCCUUAGGAAAAUUUCCAACUUGAUUAUUACAUCUGAAAAAGGAUCAGAGACCUAGUAAGCCACUACCACUUCCCAGGAAUAUGUCCAUUAUAUUUUCCCAGGUUAAGUGAAAGAAAAUCUUUUCCUUUUCCUUUGUGGAGACUUCAGCUGCACAUGGAAAGCUCUGACAGGAGAGGGUUGGAGUGGCAGAGACAGCUGGAUCGUGUAAAGGACAUACUCGUAUUUUUCUUUUCUCCUCAAUAUGUAGACACAGGUUCCUGAACGAAACCCACUAAAGUGGAACUCUUGAGGAAAAACAGCGAACCAAGGGUGCGCUGCAGCAGCCCAGCCAGCCCUGCAGUCCGGGAUACUGGCUCAUGCUAAUAAAUUCUCUGCUAACAACCCCCAGCGGCAAGGUUGCAAUCAUGUGGUUCUAUUUAAUGAAAACAUAAACAGAGGCCAACCCAUUCUAAUUUAGAAGAAGAGAAUAGUUAGAAUCUGGGGUUCUCAGGGCAAUGACUCAGACUUCUGAGCCAUCAACUCAAGAGAGAGCCGGUGUUAACAUGUACACAUCGGGUUGUCUGUUUUGACUUGACUGGUCAGGAAAACAGGCAGGUUAGGUUAAAAACAGAAAACAGGCAGGACAGUCAAGAAACAGUGGAACCAACUGUUUGACAGAUGAUGAUUAUUUCCGUUUCGGGCUGUCACUUAUGUCAAGUAAAUCAUACCAGUUAAAACAGAUAAACUUCACGUUCAAUAUCCUCUUCAUGGGGUUCUCCCCCCCGUCUCAUUCAUGCAGACACUCCAGGCUUCUCAGUGGCUCUUUCCUCUACUUACUUCCUCCUCUGUUUUCAUUCCUCAUUCUGGUUCUUGCUUUUGCUCGCACACCUCCCUUCUUCAUUCCACCCCUGCCUCAUGUUUCAUCCAUUCCUCAGAGAAAACAAAGAGCUGUGCACACGUUUUCUGUUCUGAAUCUAAUUCUAAUGGUGUUUCUAAUUUUUAAGGCAUUAUUCCAGAAAUCAAGUCUGGCAUUUACAUUUUUAAACCCACAGACAUGUAUAUAUUCACAUUCAAGGAAAGAGCAUUUUAAACAUUCUACACAUAUUCCCCACCUUGUUUUUAUUUGUACAGAAUGGCUAAAGAUAAGUUAUUUGCUAACACUUUCUAGGAUCAAAUGGUCAGGCUUAUUAUUUCUCAUUAGGUCUCCCUGAGUCUUCAAAGACUCCCUGAGUCUUGCAAAGAUCCCUGGGUUGAAAGUCAGAAGAUUUCUGUACUUCCUUUUCUACCACAAGUCAGUGUUUGGCUUUCUUUCUUCAAGGUCUCUCUCUCAUAUUUGAACAUCAGAGUGUUGGUCUAUUUGAUUUCUAUCAUUGUAACAUCUUAGUAUUGUGAUUCUCUAAGGCUCCUUAUAUAAUAGAUAAUCAACAUGGGGCAUUUAGACACUUGCUAUUUUUGGCUUUGUUAUAAACCUAAUAAUGAACACCAGAGAUAAAGUCUGUCUGUCUUUCCUAUACUUGCAUUGAGAAAUGACUAAUUGGAUAGCCCAGAUUUCUCAAGAUCUCUCCUUCCUGCAGAUAUCUGUACAGCAUGCUAAGAUUAAAGACUCAAAUGUCACUAUCACGUGUCCUCUUAUGCUGACACAGGUCCCCUCAACCCCUGGAAGUUUUUAUCCUACAGAAGAUUUUGCCCUGCUUUCUCAUAUGGCCACAGAUAAGUUGGAUCUUAUGUUGUGGGACACAGCUGUUUUUAAGCUGGGGUUGUUACUGCCCUACUGGGCAUGGCUGAUACAUUUCUGCUGUUCCAUGCUUGACAUUUGACUAGUUCAGCAAUCUCCCCCUGGCUGCUGCUAAUGCUGUGCUAGGUUUAAAAGCCUGCACCAGAUGCUGCCCCUAUUCCAUUGUUGGGUACCUUGCCUUUCUGACUGAUACACAAGGCAUGGCAUUUUCUCCUGACUGACCACCCUUAGGCAUUUGGCAAGGCAUGGCAGAUAACGUGCCAGCUCUGCCAGGCACCAUGCUGUGACUGCAGGGCAGCAAAGCUGUGUGAUGACUUAUAUCCUAUGGAAAAGUUUUGAGGGGAAACUUCUUCUUUCUGCUAAGUUCUGCUAGAGGGAAUCUCAAAGCAGAGUUGCUUAUGUCACAAAGUAAAACUACUUCAGCAUUUACUUAGAACUCUCUGCUUCCCAUCAUACUCAGACUAAGCUGAACUGCAGUUAACAUAGGGAUGAAUCUCAGACUUGCUGUGUUCAGAAUCAUCUUCCUCAUCCCAUGACAAAGAGUCAGCCUAAUCGUUUACUGAGUCAACUUAAUCGUUUCUGGAUUUUUCCUCUGUCAGGGCCAGUUCUCUUCCAGAAACUUUCUCAGUCUUUAUGCAAACAAGAUUUUGGGGGCUGACACUGCUUUUUGCCAGAUGUCCCCAGACACAUCUGAAUCUCUUCUAGCUUCAAGCUGGAGCCUUUAUCACCAUUGCAUAAAAAGCUGGGUAUAGUUCAAAUUCCUGAGUGUAUAUUCUUAUUCCCUUGGGCAUUUACACUCUGCCAUCCCACACAGUUCCUCCUCCUGUGUGAGGGUCCUAUUGCAAUUCAUCAGUGUGCCUUUUUUUUUUUUUAUGGUUUGCGAUGUUUACAUCUGGUUUCUCCUUUUGAAUGGUAAGCUUCUCAAAGAUAGAUCUUGUUUUCUUCUGUAUGUCCUCUCUUGUGUCUUGCAAAGUGCUGCUCACAUAUUAAGAUUUUGCUUGGGACAGAGAUAUGAAAGAAUAUCACUGGUGCUUUUGAAACAGUAAAUUAAUUUAAAACUUCAAAAAUCAGAAUUCUGAAAUGAUAGAAAGAAAAAUGUGCCUCCUGGGGCCACAGUAACUCAAUGAGCCCAAGACACUGGGACAGGUCCUCUGCCAGAUUCCCAAUAGCCAUACCCAAGAGUGUUGUUCUUUUUUAAGUACAGAAAGAUGUUCAGCUUUGAAUGACUGGACUGUGUCUGAUGAUUUAAUAUGUAGAAUAAUUCCCUAGGAAAAAAGUCCUAGGGAGGUCAGUAUGAAACAGUGGGAAGAUGGUAAUUAUGCAGAACUUUGAAGGAACUGCAACACUUGGGUUAACUUAAUGUUGUGGUUAAUUGCAGGUUAGUCAGAAAAUCAUUAUUUCAACACUGUUUGAGUAAUCCUUACAAAAUGCCUUUAGCAAAUUCCCAUGUUGCAAGCAUAGCUACAUCUUUCUUUGUUGUCUGAGGAUUUUUAGGGCCUUUAUGUGAAUAUUGCAAACACAAAUAUUCAUUUAAGUGUAAGAGGGCAAGAUGGUGCAGGAAAUUGGUCUUUCCCUGAAUUAACCAUUUUAUAUUCCCUAGACAUUGGUUUAGGUGAGUUUUUGAUCUCAGGUUAAUUUUUUGUAAUUAUCUCUUCUUUACUAUCCCACUCUUAAAAUUACAUUUGUAACAUUUUAUGAUUGAAAACUAUGCAUAUAGAAAAUUGGAGAACUAUAGGAAAGUAUUGCCCCAAAUGAUUUCCUUCACUUAGACAAAACCGCUUUUAACAUAAUUAGUUUUUGGUUUUUGUUCCUGUUUCCAAUUAUUUUUCCCUUAAAUAUUAACAUUUUAAAACUAGUUUGAAUGGUUUUAAGGAAAAGUAUACAGACUAAAGUAACAUCUGUAAGUGACAAGAACACUGAAGCUUCACAGAAGAGUGAAAAAUGUAUAGGUAAAAACAAGUCUUUCUCUGCAUACAUCUUCAGCCUCCAUGACUUGCGAUAAUUUUUAACAGUUUAUAUCUAUUUUUUUUACGGUUUAAGAUGUAAACUUUACAGCAUUUAUGUAGGACUUCAGUUAAUAAUGGUAGGUUGAAUAUCUCUGUUUAGUUCUAAUGCCUCCCGAAACCCUCAAAAUGACUUUAAAAGAGAUUGAAUGUGAACGUCAAGGUUACAAUAAGUUAUCAAGAUCAAACAAAAUGAUAACAACCAAAUCUUAGAAGGUGGAAUUAGUGGUUUCAACUUGUAUUAUACUAAACCUUGAUUUCAAGAUUUAGAUUCCACCUGCUAUAUUCUGUCCUGUAUACAAUAUGUACUUCUCAAGCUGUAUUCUGUUUGCAAACUAACAAGUUAGCCUGACAUAAUACCAUGAAUUCUGGUAGAGGACACAAGUUUCUUGGGUCAGAGACAAAGAACUUUAUUACACAUGACACAACAGAUGGCAGAUCUUCUUCUGUGCGAUGCCCUUGCCCCUGAGUGAUGCAGAACCAUGCAGGCAGAUGCUGUCCACUUGAAGGUUAGCAUCACAGCUGAGGGAUUCAGCUUAGAAAAUCCCAGUCUUCUAUAAUGGCUGACUAGUACGUCUUCCUAACUUUUGCCCUGGUGAUAAACAUUUUCUUUAUUAUCUUGGACAGCAAUCAAAUCUGUCCAUUGCUCCAGAAAAAGACUAUCUCUAUUUUCCAGGGCUCUCCAUUAGACAAAUACCCUUGUGCAUAAACACGAGAUCCAUGUAGAAUCGUCUACCAACAAUGAUAAAACUCAAUAAUAAUUAUUUUAAAGCAACAGGAUUCCAACAUUAAGAAGAUUAAAGUUGCAGUUUGACUGUAUACUAUGCAAAAAAAAAUGUCAAGACUCUGGUUCAAGAUAGCAGAUUUAUAUCACCCAUUGUUCUUCCCAAGUAGCCAAUGAAAAAUCACACAUAUAUACACACACAUAGACAUAGACAUGCAUAUAUAAAAUCUGCAUAUUUUAUAUAUUCCUCAUACAUAGUUUUAUACAUGUAAAAUAUGCACAUUACAUAUGCAUAUAUAUAAUUGUGUGUGUUCACACAGACACACACACACACACACAUACUAGUAUUUAUGUAAUAAUAGACACAAAAAGCAAAGCAAGUAAGGUAGAUAAGGAAAUUAGUGACCACCAGGUAAUAAACAUACCCGUGAAAGCACAUUAGAUAGAGCAUGUUGAGGGAAGACAGUGCAUGAGAGCCACUGCUCCGAAUAUGCCUCAAGGGAGCUUCAGAGAAAUGGCAGUACAUAUGUUUGAGAGAUCAAACUAUUAGAAAUGAGGAAAACGCAAGAAGAUUCCCUAAAGGAGUGUUAAUAAGGAAUAGUUGCUCACAAUCUCCCCGAGCUCAGGCAGCAAAGCUGCCAUUUCUAAGGAAGUUGAAUGAGCUAUUUAGAAAUAUGCCUAGUGUAGGUGUUGGCAUCACAGGUUUAAGUCCUUCUCAUUACAUUCUUACAAAAGAAAGGGUAACAGUCUGAGAGCUUUGUCUUCUUCACUGAAGCAAACAAAAGCUGACUAGCUGACAUGUUCUGCUCUGUCUCCUGCUGGCAGCGAGGAAUAUUCUCAUCUGAAAGAGACUGAAGGGAAAAGAGACAUAGCAGCAGAGGAGAUCCUUAUUAGCUACGCAGUUAUUUCUUAAAUAUAAAUAAACAAGUAAGGAUUACUAGAUAUGUAAGAAAAAGUGGCACAAAAGAGAAAGAUUUUUGAAAUAAAAACAGAAAACCCAUCAUAGAGGAAAAAAUCAGAAAACAAAAGCAACAUAAAAAUAAUAUAACUUGAGUAAUUUGAGGUUUCAUUGCAUCCACAAAACAAGAGCAAGGUGUUUUUUAAAAAAAUCAAAGGAUGAGAAUGAGCUUUAAAGAGAAGCGAUAGGGUUCCAAAGUUAAAAACAAAAGCUAAAAGUUCAUGGAAAAUAAAGCUGAGGAAAUCACUCGGUAAAUAAGCAAAAAAGACAAGAAAAGAGUCACGGAUGAAAUAAUUGGAAAUCUAGAAAACUUUUAAACUGGGAAAUAAGCCAUUAGGAAUAAUGAGUGAAGCUUGCAAGAACACUGACUACAAGGUCGGUAUACAAAAUUCAAGUAUUUGUAUGCACUAGAGGUACAUAAACGAAAAAAAAUUCAAAUUACCACUUACAAUAGCUGUAAAGUAAUCAAAUAUCUAGAAAGAAACUUAAUAAAAAUUUUGUAAGAUGUAGAAAUAUACAAUAUUGCUAAGAGAAAAUGAAUGUGUCUAAAACAAUUAGAGACUAAUUAAAAAUAUGGCACACUUAUGGCUUAGGAAUUCAGUUUUGUUAAGAGCUCAAGUCUACCUGCCUAAAAGGUAGAUGCAGUGCAGUCCUUAUCAAAUACCAACACAUUUUUCUUUAUGGAAAUUGACAAGCUGUUUCUAAAGUGAGUAUGGAAAUAUAAAAGUCAAAGACUUUCCAAGACAAUUUUGGAGAAGAAAAGAUAAAGUUGCAAUAAUUAAUCAGAUUUUAACAUUAGCAGUAAUAACAGUAAUUAAGGGAGUGUGGUAUUGGUGCAAGACUAGACAAGUCAGUAAAUGGAACAGUAUAGAGAGUCCAGAAAAGGGCCCACAUGUAUAUAGUCAGUUGAUUUUUCAGCAACACUGGUACUGCAAUUCAGUGGGAAAAGUGGCAUUUUCAAUCAAAAUGAUGCUAGUGACUCUUCUCUCACGUCAUACACAAAAAUUAAUGUGUGUGGAUCGUAAAUGUAAAUAUAAAGAAUUUUUUUUUAAAAGGGUUUUAGAUGAAAAUGUAGGAGAAUAUCUUCAUGAAUCUGGGAGUAAGAAGAUAUAUCUUAAAUAGGCACUAAUCAUAAAUGAAAAGAUUAAGAACAUGUGUGUGUGUGUGUAUAUAUAUAUAUAUAUAUAUUUAUUUUUUAGAUGGAAUCUUGCUCUGUCACCCAGGCUGGAGUGCAAUGGCACCAUUUUGGCUCACUGAAACCUCUGCCUCCUGGGUUCAAAUGGUUUUCCUGCCUCAGCAUCCCAAGUAGCUGGGACUUCGGGCAUGCCCACCACCAUGCCUGGCUAAUUUUUGUAUUUUUAGUAAAGACAGGUUUUCCUCAUGUUGGUUAGGCUUCUCUUGAACUCCUGACCUCUGGUGAUCCACCCACCUCCACCUCCGAAAGUGCUGGGAUUGCAGGUGUGAGCCCCUACACCUGGCUUCUUUAUACUUAAACAAUUCUAUUAAUGUAAAAACAUCAUUAAGAAAAAAGGCAAGCUAUGGCAUGCAAGAAGAUAGUUGUAAUACAUAUAUCUAAAAACUACUUCUGUCCAGAAUAUAUGGAACCUUCUACAAAUCAAUGAGAAAAUGCACAGAACUCAAUAAAAAUGCAUAAAAAAUACCUGAGCAAAAAUGUUAUAAAAGAAGAUAUCCAAAGGGCUACACAUAUAGAAAAAAUGUUCAACAUCAUUACUCAUUAGAAAAAUGCAAAGCAAAGCCAUAAUGAAAUGCCAUUUAUACCCACUGGAAUAACUAAAAUUAAAAACACUGAAAGACUGACAGUAACACAUAUUGGUAAGGUGGUUGAACAACUGGAAUUCUCAUACAGUCUCCUAGCAGGAGUGUACAUUGGUAUAGUUACUUUGGAAAAAAGUUUGACAGUUUCUUAUAAAGUUAAACAUAGAAACCCAAUAAUAAUUCCAUUUUUAGAUACACACGUAAAAGAAAUAAGGAAUAUAUUCUUCAAAACUAAUAUACAAGAAUGAUCACAUUUGCAUUUUUCAUAAUAACUCCAAACUGAAAACAUGUCCACCAAGAGGAGGUCUAAUAGUUGUGGAAGAUGGAAAAUUAUACAGCAUUUUACCAACUACUGAUAUUUUAAAUCACAUAGAUGAAUCUCACAGACAUUAUAUUACAUGAAAGAAGCCAGAUAAAUAAGAGUGUAUACUGUAUAAUUCCAUUUACAGAAAGUUCAAGAACAGGCAAAACUAAAUGAUGAUAUCUUGAAAUAUGAGGUUAUUGACUUCUGAGAUGCUGGAAGCAUUCCAUAUCUUUAUCUGGGUAGUGUUAUAUGAGUAUAUAAAUGUGUAUAUACAUUUAAGAUUAACACAUUUCAUCGUAUGUAUGGUUAAAUAAAAUUUAAUCAAAACAAGAGACCAAUUCAGGUGAUCCUGUCUUAGUCUGCCUUCUGCUGCUGUAACAGAAUAAUACAGACUGGGCAAUUUAUAAAGAAAAGAGAUUUACUGUGCUUAUAGUUCUGGAGACUGGGAAGUCCAAGGGCAUGGCACUGACAUCUGCUCAGCCAUCUGGUGAGCGCCUUAUUUUUGUGUCACCCCAUGAAGGAAAGCAGCCAGGCAAGGGAGCAUAGGAGACAGGAAAAAGGGCUGAACUCCUAAAAUAACUAACCUACUACUGUCAUAAUGGCUUUAAUCCAUUCUUGCUCUAUGACCUAAUCACCUCUUAAAGGUCCCACCUAUUAAUGCCACCACACUGGCAAUCAAAUCUCAAUAUAAAUUUUGGAGGGGACAUUUUAAACCAAAGCAGUUUACAAACUCACCUACACCUAUGACAUCUAAAAAAGAAUGGUAAAAAUAGGGGAAGGGGAUUGGUUUUUACUGUCACAAGAGACUUCCCAGAAUAUUCAGAUGGAAGGGGUUCACUGUUAAGCAAGAUGAAUCUAAAAUCAGCAAUAUAAAAUAUUCUGAUUAAAUUAUAAUGUACCUAGGAUCAAGGCAUGUUAUAAAAUCUUCUGGACAUGAAAAAAAAGCCAUAAAUAAAGGAAUAAGGUACAUAUAAAUGUCAGACUUCUCAUGAACAAUAGGAUAUUUUCUCAUGAAAAUGAAGCAAUGUUCCCUCAAAGUUCUGAGCCAGCAUAUCAAUCAGAGAACAAAAUAUAUAUAUAUAUUUUUUUCUGACAGGCAAGGGAGGGUAAUGUUUAGCUUUUAAUCAUACUCUUUAAGGAAGUUAAUUGAAGAUAUAGUUAAGCAACAGGAGGAAAGAAACAAAAACUGGGAGACAUGAGGUUCUGAGGAUCAUGGCUCCAACGUAUGAUGGUGGAAAAGGGGAGUUGCAAAAUGACUGCUACAAAACAGACUCAAAAAGAAAACAUUCCACUUUCGUGUAGGAGGACGAAAGAAAAAAAUAUGAAAUAGUGUCCCCAAACUGAAAUGUGUGUUGGAGAAAGUUAUUAUGCAAAUAACACAGAAAUUAAAAACAUAAUCAAAAAAGUAAAAUAGAACAGAUUCUAUUUAGCCUUGCUGCAAAAGGACAUUUUACUUUGAGUAGUGUAGGGAUCUGCUUUGAGUAACCCACGGGAAAGGAAAUAUGAUGUUAGCCCAAAACUUGAGCCAAUGGUGAACUAAUUUUGCAAGUUCAACAUAUAAUAUGUAAAGAGCAGGAAGGCCUUAUUUAUUGUUGAGGGACACAGUAUGAAUGUUCACAAUCUUAACAAUGCAAAAGACAGAGAUGCGCAUGACAGAGGAAGUGAACGAAGAACGGGUAGAGGAGUUGGAAAAGCUAAAAUUCUUCAUAGAAGAAAGUUGAGAUACUAACUAAAAUAGACGGGAAAAGAAAUACAAGUAUAUUAUUUAAAGUCACAAAGGUAAACAGUAAAAUAUUUUAAAAUAACAGCAUUACCAUCAAACUUUGAAAAGAGCGAGUGGUAAGGAUGGAGAAGUAGAAGUGCACUGGCAUGAAUAAAACUGAAUUCAUAAAGAAAUUAGGUCUAAAUUGUUAGAGUUAGGACAGCAGUCCAGUGGGAGAGUCCAGUGAAGAUUGAGGUAAAAAUAUUUUCCUCGGCUGGGUGCGGUGGCUCAAGCCUGUAAUCCCAGCACUUUGGGAGGCCGAGGCGGGUGGAUCACGAGGCCAAGAGAUCGAGACCAUCCUGGUCAACAUGGUGAAACCCCGUCUCUACUAAAAAUACAAAAAUUAGCUGGUCAUGGUGGCGCGUGCCUGUAAUCCCAGCUACUCAGGAGGCUGAGGCAGGAGAAUUGCCUGAACCCAGGAGGCGGAGUUUGCGGUGAGCCGAGAUCGCACCAUUGCACUCCAGCCUGGGUAACAAGAGUGAAACUCCAUCUCAAAAAAAAAAAUUUUUUUUUUUCCCGUAGGAGUUAAGAUUGGUGUUAGUGAGAGUGGCGGUUGCUUUUCUCCCCGUAAACUCUUCAGCACUACUUGAUCUGUCUGUUCUUUUGUUCAAAAAUUAAAACUAAAAUGUAAUGUCUAUUUGCUAUGGGUGCUACCCCUUAUCCCCCAGAAUUCAUUCGCUGCUUCUUUUCAGUAAUAACAAUCAGAUUUUCAACCCUCUGAGCACAGUUCCUAAGCUUUAGAAGAAGGAAGUUCAGCCACAGAUCCCAUCCUGUCUGCCCAGUGCUUAGAGAAGGUCGCAGAACAUGCCCCAAAUGAAGCCUGUACAGCAUGAGUCAGAGAACUCUGGCCAGGAUGUCUGGGGAAGAAGUUUCCUCUUUCUUCUCUGGGACCUACCUAGAGAGGGCUGUUUUAAAGCUGGAUGUGAACAUCCACUCAUGCAGCCCCCGAAGCCGCUCACAGACACAAUGUGACCAUAAGGUCUCAAAAUAAAGGUGACACUGCAGGAAUCAGGGAAAGGAGGGAAAAAAAAAAAUGUUUAAAGCCUCAUUUAAGGCAAACCCUACCACCUGAAUAUUUAAGUUACUUGGGCCAUUCAAUUUUAUUUUUAAAGCCAGUUCAAGUCAGGUUUUUUUUUGUUAAAUAACCAAAAGAUUCCUGAAAGACAAAAAAACCAAACAAACAAAAAACCAAAAAAACCACUUUGAGAAUGUUUAUGAAACAACCUAAAAUAUUUCAAAGAAUUUUAUAGAUGAAAAAACAGUAUCACAGAUUUCCCUUUUGUCUUCAUAGCAUUCUCAUGAGGAAGGAAAUUGUUAUCCAAGUGUUAUGAAAGAGAAAACUGAACGGAAUGGUCAGAUGACCUACUCGAGUCCCCUUAGUUAUAAAUGACCAGUACUUUUGACUAAGUACUGCGCUCUUACCAAAUUACCACCCUGCAGGUGUAGACAAAUGAACCGAUGGAAUAAAUAGAGAGCCCAGAAAUAAAUUCAUGCCUAUGCGGAACUUUAAUGAGGACAGAGAUGGCCUGGCAUUUCAGUGGAGAAAAGAGGGAUAUUCAAUAAAAGGAGGUGGAAAAAUUGGUUGUCCAUUUGGAAAAAAAGGUGAAUUUGGAUCCCACCCUUACACCAUACCCAUAAAUCAACUCCAGAUGGAUUAGAGGCUUAAAUGUCAAAAGCAAAUUUUAAACACUUAGUAGAAAAAUAUAGGGGGAUAUCUUUCCAAUCUUGGGGUAGAGAAGGAUUUCUUAAACAGGCACAAAAAAUACAAUCCAUAAAAGAUUUUCGAUUAUUGACUAUUAAAAUUAAGAAAUUCUGUUCAUCAGAUGAAUUCUUAAAGAAGAUGAAAAGGUAAGCUACAACCUGAGAAAAAAUUUAUUUGGAACACAUAAUUGAGAAAGGUUUACUGUCAAGUAUAUAUAAAGACACAUGAAAUAAUAAGGAAAGGUCAAACAGCGCUACAGACCAAAGAAAAAGUAACAGUAAACAUUUUGUAGAGGAAAAAGAGAAGGAGAAACACAUACAAUUAAAAAUAUAUGGAAGGAUCUUGAGUCUUAUAGCAAUAUUGAUGAGCAAAUCAAUAUGUAGAAUAGCAAAUCAAGACUAUAAUGGAUAUCUCUUUAGCUUCAAUUUAUUGGCAAUAAUUAAGAAUUUAAACUACAAAAAAAUUGAAAAGUAUAUGGAUGAACCAUGUUUCUUAUAUAGUGCCAGUAUAAAUUGGUUAACCACUUCACAUUAUCUUUUAAGGAUUAAUAUUCACACACCCUCUGACCCAACAAUUUUCUAGGUGUGUAUGCUAAAGGAAAUGAUUACCUUCGUGUACCCAGAGUAACACAUAAAAGUGUUCAUAAAAGUACCGUUUAUAACAAGAGCAGAGAGCAAAGGCCCAUCAAGAGAGAAACAAAUUGUAGUGUAUCUGGAAUAACACUGCAAUGAAAAUAAAUGAACUACAGGUAUACGUGAUAAUAUGAUGCUUAGUAAUAGCAAUUUCUCAGAUGAUCACAGCAAUAACAUUUUUGAGCCAAUGUAUAUUUGCUAAAAUUAUCUUUUAAAAAAUGAAAGAAAAUAAUAUACAAAAUUCAGCAUGUCAGGGUUGUUGUGCAGGAGGGAUGGGGAAGACUGGAUAGAUAGGUGCAAGCAUUGCUCAUGUUCAAAUUCUUGGGUUGGGAGUUGGUUUUUAUCACCAACAAAGUAAUAAGCCAGGGAAUGUGAUGGGGAAAUGAAGAAAUAAAAUAGAGUUAUGAUUAGACCAGUGAUGAUAGUAUAUCAAAAAUCAAGUCUUCUUACUUUUAAAAUGGAAUUAAUAACACUACUUAGUCUCCUAGGGUUGUUAUAAAGUUGAAAUUCUUAGAAUAAUGCCCGGUAUAUAAUAAGUUUUAUAUUAGUAUUUGUGAAAGCUGAAAGAGAGAGAAGAGAGAGAGAGAGAGAGAGAGAGAGAGAGAGAGAGAGAGAGAGAAGUAAAAGUAAGAAGGAAUGAAGAAAGGAAAGAAAGAAAUAAUAAAUAAUCAAAUUUUGUGCACUCGAAGUCCAUUAUUAAAGCAUUAACCCAAUGCAGAGGUGUCAAAUAGUGCAAAUAAGAGUGAGCCUAAUGAGGGAAAUUCCCGAGAUGGGUAAAGAUUUGAAAUAUUUUUUUAAUGUAAAAAGUAUUGCUAAAACAUAAAUACACCAGUGGAUUGGUUUACUAGUUAACAGGUUAAAGUUCCAGCUUCUAUUUUCAGAGUGGAACUUAGUUGCCACGAUAAUAGGAGGUGACAUUUGUUUGAUUUUCCUCCCUCGAGUUGUGGAAGAAUCCUAUAAACUCCUCUAUAAAUAACCAAGUAGAGGCCGAAAGGUUUCCUGUAACUUACAGCCUAAAGCCAGUAACCUCUGAUGGCAGUCUGAGUGGUGGUUGAAUCAGCAGGGUGGCAGCGAUCACAGGGGGAAUUCCGCAUCCUCCAAGGAGGCUUGACUGAGCAUGAAUGGCUUAUACUUUGUGUCCCUCAGUCCUCAGUAGUAGCCCAUUAAGAGGCAAUAAACAUGAAAUAUUCCACUUGGCGCCUUAGAGCUCUUGAGCCAAUGAAUACGACUCAGCCCCUUUGGCCUAGGAAAACAAUGUCCAGUUGUUACGUGAGAACAUACAGAGGACAUACUCUAUUAACUGAGCAACACACUCCAUCUCCCAGCUAGGAGCAGUGACCAAGACCACAAACCCUUCAUCUGAGCAAAGUGCAGACUUCAAUAAAUUCGAAUGCUUAGUGAAAUAUACCUGUCUUAUUCUGUUUAAGGUGGGAUCGCCAGGGAAAUAUGUGUUUUGGGGGCAUGAGUUAAAUUGGUGACGGGGUUUAGGCCACUUACAGAAAUGGAUUAUUCAGAUCCCAAGGUAAAUAGGCAGACGCUUUUAACUUCUUUGCUGUAGCAGCCCCAAACCUACCAAUUAUCUUGCAUUUAUCUUCUAGCUUUAGUUCUUUCUCCCCAUUGUCAAAGUGCUUCUUGGCUGCCUGUGGGGUUGGCAUGAAAAGGAUUGAGCGUCAGAGUGGAUGUCUCUUUGCCCACUUUUUGGGUUGUGGUCUAGAAGCAUAUUGUGAUUUCUACAAGACACACGUUCCCAUUUGGAGCUUUAACAAAUUCAACCGUUUCAUGUUCUGUAGAGAAGUACUGAGCAGCUUAAAGCAUUUGAAUGGGAGGAGGAGAAG